UUAUUACUAGUGUCUAAGUCUCUUAUAAACCCAAUGACAACCCCAUUCCCAUCCGAUGUGGGAUUAUUGGGGUGUCACAUACUCCCCCCGUUAAGGCCCUGACGUCCUCGUCAGUCCAAACACACACAGCCCAAGAUCACCAGGCUAUGUGAGACUCGUCUCGCUAGCCUGUCAUCCAGACCCUGGCUGGACAUGUGACAGAUUGAAGUGGUAUGAGGUCAGGUGGGCCGAGUCACAAUCGAGACACGUGGGCGCUGUUUCUGUACGCUUUAAGUGAAUUAGUUGCGUAUUUCUAAUAGCUCGAGCUUUUGGGAUUAAUGGUUAGCGCCAACGAUCCGACAAGUGGUAUCAGAGCCAGAGGUCACGGGUUCGAUUCCCGCAUGCUGCAAAUGUGUGCAGGUGCUGGAGGGGGGAUUGUUGGCUUUAAUGGGCCAGCAUCCUGCCCUGUGGCGGGAGGGCAUGUGGGCCGAGGCAUGUUCGAAAUGGCGUGAGGCUGGGAUGGGAGUAGUCUUAGGAUGGGUGACCCCCUGGGAAGUCGGGGCGUCACAGAUGGUAUCAGAGCCAAUUACCAGCCGGAAGUGUGAGAUGAGUCUUGGCUGAGCCAGGGUCUGGAUGACGGGCUAGCGAGACGAGUCUCACAUCGCCUGGUACUUGUGAGUCUGAGCCUGACGAGGACGUCAGGGCUUAAAGGAGGGGAGAUUGUGAGACUCCAGAUAGUCCUAUAUAUAAGAUAUAAUAGGGCUAAACUCUUAACCCGGCUUAAGCAUUUUGGGUGGUGGCAAGGCCCAAGAGGUUAAGAGAGUUAAGCGUGCUAGGACGGGAGUAGUCCUAGGAUGGGUGAGCCCCUGGGAAGUUGGGGCGUCACAUAAUGAUUGAUAAAGAAGGAUAAUGAUUUGUUGAAGUAGGUGGGAUAAGAAAGAUAAUGGGUUAUUAUAAAUAGAAAAUAGUGUUUAGUUGGAGUUUGGUGGGAUUAAGUGGGGUUAGCUAACUCGGAAUAAUUUAUUUGAGGUGGGGUUAUGUGGGGUUAGCUAACCCCACCUAUUUUUUGGGGUGUUUGGAGAUAAUAUGUGGGUUAAGAGAUUAUUCCACCCCUUAACCCCCAACCAAACAAGGGCUAAUAGUUUCUCUUUCGAUAUUUUAAAGUUAAACACACUCAAAUCAAACUGCAUGCACACGACGAGUAAAUCUCUGGUUAUACAUCCAAUUUGAGACUUGGAUUGAAUAGUACUAUUUGACUACUAAGUUAUUUUUUUUUCUUGGGAAUUUUGUCACAAUACACAAGGUGGAUACUGGUGCUCGUGCCCACCCGGUACACAUCUCGAACCUUCUAAUGGAACUUGCUACCAGAGGCCGAAACAUCCGGUAGCAGUACUGACGCUAGUCACAGGUGAGCUCUUCGACUUUUUUCUUUUUCUUUUUCUUUUUUUUUUUGAAGCGUGUUAGUAUUAGUACCUAAUGUUUUUUAAAUAAUAAAUAUAUAAAAUUUAUCUCAACAAUCAUUCAUCCUUUUACAUCCAACUGUCUAAACUUUAAAAAUUUUGAAUUACUAUCAGACCUUUUAAUUUAUUUAAUUUGAGUUACUUCAAAGUUUAAAUUUGUUGUUUAUUUUUACGAAUUUAAUUAGCAUAUUUUAUGUAAUUUAUAUAACUAUAAAUUUAAAUAUUUCAAAAUUUGAAUUUGAAAAACUAUUAAAUUACUUAAAGCAAAUAAAUUGCAAAAUUGGAUAAUAAAAUUAAAAUUUUGAAAUGUCAGAUAUUUGAAUCGAAAUAGUUUAUAGUUUAGAUAGAUUUUAUAUAUUUUACCACACUACAACAUAAUUAAGUUAUAUGGACACUAUGUUUGGGACACUUUUGUGUAAGUGUCCCAUUUAUACCAAAACUUAAAAAAAAAUCUACUAAGCCCUAAAUAUAAAGUCCAAUCCAAUCAAAAAUAAAAUGCUACUCUACUCAACCCACUCCAGUACCCAGCCCAUUCGGCCCGAUUACAAAUAGAAAAGAAAAAAAAAAAUCGAUCACUAUCUCCCCUUCUCUCCUCACUCAAUCUAUUGAAACCCUAGACGAAAAGCCCUUCCCUCUCCUCCUUCUCUGCCACCGCAGCCAACGAGGUAGAGUUCCAGCGAUUGCUAAAUGCUUAAAUAAGUAUUGAUAAAUUAGCAGCACUUUUUUUAGGUUUUACCGACAUUCUUUAAUUGUCACUAUAUUCCUAGCGACCCCACAUAUAGCAACACUUUUUAAAGUGUCGGUAAUUUAGCCAGCGACAUUUUUUUUGACAUGUACCGACAUUUAAAAGUGUCGCUAUAAAUCGUUUUUAUUGUAGUACUAAUAUCUAUCUGUACCUAUACAUUAUUCUUCCUAAAUUUGUCACAUGGCAAUGUUCCCUUCGUUAUCGGAUGUAGACUCCACCCUGAACUAGCUCAAGUUUUUUACAAUUUUUUUUUUCUUGAAUCAAAUCAAUCAUUAUUCAAUGUGAGCUCUUCCGAACCGGCUCAAGUCCUUCAUAUAUUUUUUUUAAAUUUUUUUCUUAAAAUAAAUUCGGUUUUUCUAUUUUUUGCUUCAACCGAAUCAGAUCACACCUCUAUUUUGGGUCUAAUUGUUCUUCUUCCACUUUCUUUGGAUGUUAUCUGUCUUCAUCGGCAAGAUGAAUUCUAUCUCUUAACAUCACUUUUUCGAUCAUUGUUUUUUCUUUCUUAGCUAUCGUUUUUUUUUUUCUAUUUAUUUAUCCGUCGCAUCAUACGAGAGACUGCACUAGUAAACCACUAAAGCAGAAGAGUCAAGGUACAAACGUGUUAUGCGGUGGUGAUGGAAUUUUAUUCCAUGCGACCACAGCCAAUAGGAGAAAGCAAAAUUUUUUUUUUUUUGAGAAAUAGAUAGCAAGCUACCUGCUUCAUUCAUUAAGUCUAAUGAACUGAGCAUACAAGUUGGAGGCAGCUUAGGCCUCCAAGUAAGCGGCAAAAAGCUGAAAAAAGAAAACUGAAAAGGAAAAAGAAAAAAGAAGAGGAGGUAUGUGAGGGCGUCAAUGCAAUGUACUCCAAGUGCUUAUCAGACUUGACUUGUCCAAAUUGGGACCGACUUGACUUGUCCAAAUUGGGAGGGACCGACUUGACUUGACGUUUAGAAAAGCAAGACAUUUUCAGUGAUUGCAAGUGAUGGUCUCUGUUUCGACUCGAAAAUAUGUUUAUGCCUCUCAAGCCAUAAAUUAAGCCAUAAAUUAUAGUUCUAAAUAACAAUUGGUUCUUAAAUUUUUAUGUAGGUAAAUUAUACAAUCAGUUUCUAAUUAAACUAUUAAUUGGCGGUGCAAGCCUUUAAAUUGAUUAAAUCUUAGUCAUAACAAAUGUUUUAGUCGCUAGAAGAAAAGGGAUUCUAUUGUCGUUUAUCAUGUCAUUGCUCCUAAACCCAUAUUUGUUUUUGUUCCACCAAUCGCUAGUUGGUGGACUUCUUUUUCUUUUUCAAUUUCUUCUUUACCCUACUUCUACUACUAAUUUCCUUCAUUCUUUAAUUACAUAGAAAUAUGUCUCUAUUACAAUCAAAAAAAAAAUUCGCGAGACUAAAUGCUGCUGUGUAGCAUCGAUAGAGCUCCAUUGUUAGAGCUCCCCCAAUGUGUGUGCAAAAUCACAAUGUGUUUCAAGUAUAGCCAAUGCUGAAUAGUGUAACCAACACGAGAAGUCACAUGAUUGUCUACUCACUCGUUACUCAAUAUAGCAAUAGUGUGAUUAGUCCUUUGACCUGUGGUGCCUCGGUUAUUCACAAUGAGAUUAAUAUAGUUUCACUGUAUUUACACUUGGUCUCUAUAUAUUUGGGUUCUUUCAAUGCAUGUUGGCUAUAGUAGGUUCGUUGUAGGAAUAUGAUAUGCACUUAUAUAGAAUCUAUCAUUCUUGGUAGAUAAGGGUAUUAGUUCUGCGUGAUUUAUGAGAUCGAGUUUAGAAGAUCUUAGGUAGAGAGAAAAUAAUAGAAAGGGUUUCUGAUAUUAAAAAUUCGAGUAGAAUAAAUUUAACAUAUGACAGACGAUAGGGUUUGAUGAGCUAUUUUUUGACCUCCGUCUAGUUGGGACUCAUGAUAGAACGACUGUAUCACACAUUAACUGCAUCUAGAGUGUCAUGCCUCGCGACUGCCAAUUUGGUCGGUUGGGGUAUGCCGAACAGAUACCGAACAGACAGAACCUCUCCUACCCGCCCAAGGCUAACUAGGCUGGAAUUCUAUCAAUAGCACUAAGCUGUUGGUGCUAUUAGUUUUUUAGACCUUGGAUUGAUAAAUGUGCGGUUAGGAUGAUGUGGGACCCCUAGGGUUGAGUGGGUGGUUGGUUGAAUAGUAUAUAUAUAUAUAUAUAUAUAUAUAUAUAUAGAACUAGGUUGGAAUGCUAUCAAUAGCACCAAGCUGUUAGUGCUAUUAGUUUUUUAGUUCUUGGAUUGAGAAAUGUGCGGUUAGGAUGACGUUGGACCCCUAGGGUUGAGUAGGUGGUUGGUUGAAUAGUAUAAUCUAACGGGUAAAAAUAAUUAAAAGGGUUAACAUAAUGGUAGAAAACUUGAUAGAACCAAAUACUUUGUGCUAUCGAUAGCAUAGCAGCCGGACUAUAUAUAUAUAUAUAUAUAUAUAAUUGAGUUAGAAUACUUUUAGAAGCACCAAGCCCUUGAUGCUGCUAGGUUUCUAGCCUUUGGAUCUACUCCUUGAUUACUAAUAGUAUUUGGAUCAAAUACUAUUCCACCUACCACCAUCAUCUCAACCCUAUAUCUCUUUAUCCAAUGGUUAAAAACUCAAAAGCACAACUCAUUUGAUGCUUUUGAGAAUAUUCUAGCUCAACUAUAUAUAUAUAUAUAUAUAUAUAUAUAUAUAUAUAUAUAGGCUAAUGCUACUAUCCUAUUGGUAAGCAUAAACUAGUUGGUGCUUUCAUUUUUUAGCCUUUAGAUCAAACAUUCUACAGUUGGGAUGAUAGCGUCCCCUUACGGUGGAGUAGUCUCCCUAGGGUUGAGUGGUCUCCAUUGCUUCCGAUAGCAAUGUAGCUCUAUACUAUUAUAUAUAUAUAUAUAUAUAUAUAGAACUAAGCUACUUACUAUUAAUAGCACCAAGUCAUUGGUGCUACCAGUUUUUGGCCAUUGGAUUAAGAGAUGUGUGGUUAGGAUGAUAUGGCCCCAUAGGGUUGAGUAGGUGGUUGGUUGAAUAGUAUGAUUUAACGGAUGAAAAUGAUCAAAGGGGUAGAUCUAACGCGCGAAAAACUUGGUAGCACCAAGUGCUUCUGCUAUUAAUAGCAUAGUAGCCGGACUCUAUAUAUAUAUACUAUACUAUAAUAUAUAUAUAAAUUAUAUAAUAUAUAUAUUAUGGAUAUGGAAUGUUGCAUUUAAGCCCCUCCAAAUCUCGUACAAUUGGAGUGAAAACCCUGCCAGCAUGCAACAUUUACGUAGUAGCACCAUUCCAAGGAGCUUUACGCGAUUUUAUGCAUUAAAUAACAUUAUUCCUCUCCACAAUGAGAUUCUUCGGUAAAGUCUCUGUCUCAACUUCGAGUCCGUGCCGUUUUGUUCAAAAGUGUCAGAAUUUAGCGAGACUUGUAUCAGCGCGUUCCCCUCUGAGUAUACUUUAUUUGAACCCAUCCAUUCACCAAAACUCCAACGUUUCGCACAUAAAAUGAUGGCUUCUACGGGAAGUGCUCCAUUUCCACAAAUUUCUAAUAUUGCAAUUUAACCCUCCAAACUCAAUAUUCCCUUCCAAUAAUUCACCAGUGCGAGUAAUUCACACAAUUGUGCCUACCCCUUGAGUUUCGUGCAAUUCAGUAUAUAUGAAAUGUCAUACCUUUUCCAUAAAAACCCAAUUCCGCCAGAAGGUCAAUAUAUGAUGAGAGCAGAUUUCUCGAGAACCGUACAUCGAACAUAAAAUCUGCCUACACCAUUGGAUCCGGCAUAGUUAGACAGUUGAAAAAAGCUAUUGAAUUACUAGAAACAGAGUCCGGUACGCGACAGAAGCCAUCUACACUCAACGGCCCAUUUCGAAAAUACGAGUUAGUAUUCAUUUUAAGUGAAAAGUAAAAAUCACGUAAAAUCUUUAUUUUAAAUUAUUUUUUGCUGAAAUUUAUCGGAUAGUUUUAAAAUUAAAAUACACACGACAACAUCUAAACAGAUGUCAAAUUUUUAUAGGAGAAAAUCUCAAUCCUCACAACUCAGUUAGGAAUAUUCCUACUCUAUUAUUUAAUUAGUACUUUCUUACCUUUCUUUUUUAUUUGCUAUGGAAUGAUGAUGCACGAACAUACGAAAACAUGAUGCGUGCAUUGAUAUCUUCUCAUAGUUGACAAUGACAUUUUUAAUAGAAAGCUUCUUUAUAUAUGAUGACAUAUACCGUGUGGAAUAAUCGGGCGGUAAAGCAAGGCCAUGUUGCCCUGCUUAAUGACUGAAAUAUCCUUUCAUGCAUAUCUAUGCUUAUAUUAUAAUCAUAUUUCUACUUGAAAAUAUAUUUAUGAUUAUUUUGUAUAAUUUUCUUAUUUUAUGAAGGCCAUGUUGCCCUCUUUAAUAACAGAAUAUCCUUUCAUAUCUAUGCUUAUAUUAUAAUUAUAUUUCUACUUGAAAAUAUGUUUAUGAUUAUUUUGUGUAAUUUUCUUAUUUUAUGAAUCAAUUAAGCUUAACGAAAUUAUAGCACAAGCUGCUUAAUAUAGCCCCACCUCCAAGAUAUAUAUUAAUAAACUGGACUAAAAUAGUCAAUUGAAUUUAAUAAACUAGACUAGAAUAGUCAAUCGAAAUUAAUAAACUAGACUAGAAUAGCCAAUCGAAUUUAAUAAUUGGAUUAGAAUAGUCAAUCUAAUUAUUCAUAUCUCACUUUGAAAAUAAAAAAAACUACAAGAUUGUCACAAUUAUAGCCCCACCUAGAAGAUAUACAUUAAUAAACUGUACUAGAAUAGCCAAUCGAAAUAAAUAAACUAGACUAGAACAGUCAAUCGAAUUUAAUAAGUUGGAUUAGAAUAGUCAAUUUAAUUAUUCAUAUCAGUUUGAAAAAAAAAAAAAUUACAAGACUCCCGAAAUUAUAGGAGAGAGAAUAGAACAUGAGCUAUAUGCAACAAUUGAAUAUUCAUGAUUUGGUUUGUCUCAUUGUCUGUGUGUGUCCUUCGUUUAAUCCGACUCCAAUAGUGUCAUCUCUACAGGAAAGUUCUCGCUCCGUCCUCGAGAAUACACAUCUAUAAACUUAUAUGAAGCUACAAUAUUUUUUGCCACGUGGCAUGUUUCACCUCCCCACUCCUCUAAUUAUAUGCAAGGUGCAAUAUUUAAUUAUAUACAACUUUAAAUCCAACUUUAAAUCAAACCACCUUCUCUUCUUCUCAACUUCCAAUCCUUCACCUUCCCACUCCUCUAAUUAUAUGCAAAGCGCAACAUUUAAUUGCAUGCACCAUAUUAAUAUUCUAUCAAUGAGUAUGUUUUAUAACUUUAAUCCACUCUCCUCCUCUAUUAAUUUCCCGCCCUUCUCUUUUGUAACUCUUUUGCAUGCAUCAUAAAAACAAUAUAUUAUCGUUUAAUCUCCCACUCCACACUCAUCUCUCUCUUUCUCUCACUGUGUUAGUGAAGAAGAAGAAAAAGAAGAAAAAGAAGAAGAGCCUCUGAAGAACAUUGUCUCUUUCGAGAAGUAUCAUCCUGCGAAGCCAAGCCGCGAUCCAUAUAAGUGCCAGCUAAACCAGUCCGUGCGGGAGCCUUUACUCGCUAUAUGAAUUUAGUCAUGCAAAUUGACUGUGCUUAAUAUGAUAUAGCUUCCUAUAUAUCAAUAAACUGUAAAUAUAAAUUUUAUUAAAAUUUUUAAAUUUUACUUCUAUUAUUUACCCGCUGCAUCGCGCGGUCUUUACACUAGUUAUAUUAAUUCUACUAUAGCAUAUGAGAUCGUUAAGUAUCUAAUUAAGAAGAGAAUGCUAUUUGCACAGUUAAAAGUUGGAUAUAAAUCUUACAUCCAACCAUCUAAGAGUUUAAACAGUAGUGUUUUUUUAUAUUUAAUAUUAGAAAUAUUGAUUGAUAAAUGUAGUGUGAAAAACUUGACCCUUCUUUAUUAUAAAGGAGAAAAAUUUACACCCAACUUUUGGCUGUAAAUAUAGCUAGCAUUGUGCUCAAUUAAUUAAGAAUAACAUAAUAUUUUAUAUUAAAAUAGUAUUUUUAGCAAAUAGAUUUAAUAAAUUAAGGCAAUAUAGAAAGUUUUAAUUAUAUAUUAUUAUUUCUAUAUCAAAUGACUAUCAAGUGAGUAGCGACCUUUUGACUAAAUCAAAUGUUGAAACUAUCCAGACAAAGACUUUUAAAUCCUCACAUCUUCUAAUUAAUGACUGCGGGUACCACAGCUUUCGGUGAGAUAAAAAUGCGUGAAGACACCCCCACUUUUAGCACAUUAGGAAAUAGUCUCUCAACUUUCUUUUUGUGGAUUGAUAUUCUCUAAUUAAGUGAUUUAUCAAAUACAUUAAUUUUUUUUUUUUUCAAAAUCAUAAGUAAUUUGAUCAAAUUCAAUAGGUUCGAUUAAUUUUUACUAAAUAAAACUAGAAAAAAACAUAAAUAAUAGAUAAUAUUAUCCUUAAGUUUUUUUUUAAAAAAAAUAAUCAACUUCACUAGCUAAGUUAAAAGACUAAAAUAAAAAAGAGAAAGUUAAAAAGCCUCAGUCAAAUAAGUUGAAAUUGACAUGCACCAGUGUACACGUAAACUCGAUGAACCACACAUAAUAUGUAAUUAUUGAUAUCUUAAAAUUGAAAUUUAAUUUACUUGAUGUGAUCUAAAAUACCUAAAGAGCUUAUGUAUCAAAAAUUGUUCAUUUAAAGAUCUUUAUCUAUGCCUUAAGUAGUUUAAAAAAUCGUGAUAUGAAGAGAAUUAUUAUUUAAUCUAUAAAAAAUAUAUGUUCAAAAUGUAAGUUUCGUAGAUGAUCUAUUAUUGAGCUUUAGCGCGCCAUGCUGUGUAUGAGAGAGUACCUUAUGAUGAGAAAUGCCACUUGUAAGCUAAAGUUAGGCGUAAAGAUUUUGCCCAACUUAUUCAAGAAUUCACACAUUUUGAAUUUGUAAUAUUAAAAAAUUGAAAUGUGAUAAAAUUACUGUGAAAAGAAAUUAGUCUUGAACAGUGAGAAUAUAAAAUUUAUAGGUAAAAACAUAUAUAACUUUUCUGAAUUAUAAACCAUUUUAAUUUAGCUACUCCAUCUUAUAAAAUUUUUAAUUUACUAUCGAAUUUUUAAAUUUGUUUGAUUUUAGUCGAUCAAUGACACUUUGACUUUAAAAUUUGAAUGUAUCGUUACCUUUAUAGGUUUAGUUAGUAUAUUUUAUACAUUUUCGAUCGUAAAUAUAAAUUUACUAAAAUAAGUAGUUAGCUCAAAUUUUGAAGAUAAAAUGUUGUUGACUAACUCAAAUUAAAUGAAUUGAGAGAUUAGACAGUAAAAUCAAAAUUUUGAAAGAUACAAGCAAGUAGCCAAAUCAAAAUAAUCUAUAGUUUAAAUAAAUUUCGUUUGUUUUCACCAAAUAUACUCUCGCUUGGGUGUAGAUAUUAGUACUGCUUCUUAAUAAUAUCUCUUUUGUUUAAACUCAAGAAAUAAUUUUUUGGUGUUUAUACAUACACCAAAAAAAAAAAAAAAAAAAAAAAAAAAAAAAAAAUCUAGGUUGUCGAAUGAGUCAAAGUCGAUACUCCACAGCAAUUAAUGGUCUCCUGGGCGCUCUAUUUCAAGGGCCCCCUUCCGUCUAUAUUAAACACCAUGGAUAGAGUGCACCCCCUCCAACAAGCUGAAAUUAACCAAAUGGUGAAAAACAAGAAAAAGCAAACUAAAAGAACUAUGGAGUGUAAAGAAAACUCUAUCCCCACCGGAAUAGUCUUUCUGUGGGGACUACUUGUGCUUCUGCUCCUGGCAUUGCAGCUCACAUCUGCAUCAGUCGCAUUGCCGGGAUGCCUGGAACGAUGCGGCGACGUCGAGAUCCCCUAUCCGUUCGGCAUCGGCCGGAACUGCUCGAUGGAGGGUUUCACACUCAACUGCACCUUCAGCAAAGGCACCCACAAGCCCUUCCUGAACCACAUCGAAUUCUUGAGCAUUUCCUUAUCAUUGGGCCUCGCCCGUGUUGCUGGCUAUGUGUCGAGCCAAUGCUACAAUGCCACGGCCAGCAAUGUGACAUACAACGACUGGGAGAUGAACCUUUGGGCGUCACCAUACCGGUUCUCUAGCACCCUCAACAAGUUUACGACCAUCGGCUGUAUGACGCUGGCCUACCUCAUAGAGAGCAACACGCCAAAUAGCAUGGCGAAUAGUAGCUAUUGGUCCGCGUGUGUAUCAAUGUGCAGGAGGAGGGACGACUUGAAAAAUGGCUCGUGCACGGGCAUCGGAUGCUGCCAGACUGCCAUCCCGAAGGGAAUGGUGCACUACCGAGUGUGGUUUGCGGAAAACUUCACCAGCACCAACACAUACAAUUUGAGCCGGUGCAACUACGCCGCGCUGGUGGAGGAACGCGCCUUCAAUUUCAGCACCUCCUACAUCACUACCGAUGAGCUGUACGGAGGAACGCUGCCGUUGGUGAUCAAUUGGGCCGUAAGAAACAAGACGUGCUGGGAAGCCCGGCGGAACAUGACUUCCUACGCAUGCGUAAGCGAGAACAGCACGUGCCUAGACUCCGCAGACGGGCCCGGCUAUCUCUGUAAUUGCUCCGAGGGUUAUCAAGGCAACCCUUAUCUACCCCACGGGUGCCGAGGUUUGCAUCUCUCUCUCUCUCUCUCUCUCUCGUUACAAACAUCUUUCUUUAUUUUGUGAUGCGUGAGAAAGUUUUUCCUCGGAUAGUUAAGAGCAUAUAUAAGAUAUAUAAAUUAAAUUUUAAAUGUAUAAAGAAAAUAUUAUUUUUUAUGAAUACAUAAUUAUUAUUAUUAUAGCGAUUCCAUAGCCUCACAUCAGUUAAGAAAGGGGUAUAUAUGUGAAUUAAAAUAAAUGGAUGAAAAAUUCUAAUAAUAAUAAUUAUUAUUAUAUUUAAAUAUUUUUGCAAUGGUACAUAAGUGGUUUUAGAUUUGGUAUAUUUAAUUAUUAGUAUUAGAGCCGAAUACAUGUUCCUAAAAUGGUAGGGCCUCCAAAAAAAGAGGGGGAUUUUGUGAUGAGGAAGUGAACCAAGCAUGUAUGUAAAAAAUAUAUAUAUACACACAAAGGAAUAGGUUUUUUUUUUUUUUUUAAUACAAAAUAGCUUAAUUAAUCUUUCUUAAAAAACAAUAGUAGUCCCUCUUUGAAAUAUAUUUGAAAAGUUAAACUCAAAUCAAAUUGCACACGGCAGUUAAAUCUCUGGCUAAACUUCCAAUUUGAGACUUGGAUUCCUUGAUGAACAGUUUGUGACGGAAUGGCAUAAUCGACAAGUAAUUAAAUUAAGUUAAUUUUUUCUUGGGAAUUUUGUGAUAUGGGAAACAGAUAUUGAUGAGUGUGCAAACAAGGAUGGGUCUCCAUGCUCUGGGGAUUGUCACAAUACACAAGGUGGAUACUGGUGCUCAUGCCCACGUGGUACACAUGGCGACCCUUAUAAGGGAACUUGCUACCCGAAACUUCCACCGGCAGCGAAGCUAGUUAUAGGUGAGCUCUUCCACCUUUUUUGCAAGGCUUUAUUUGGUUUGAGUAUAAUAAAAAUUAUUUAUUUAAGAAUAAAUAUAAGUUCAGAUACAAGCAAGAAUUAAAUUAAUUUUGUAUUUUGAUAAAAGUUAAAUUGUUCCCGGCAAUAAAAAAAUAUAACGUAUGGAUAGAUAAGAUGGAAUAAGAAAAAUGAUGAAUAGUUAUAAACAAAAAAAUAAUGAUUAUACUCCUCUCAUUAAAUUUGAAUUUGAAUUUAAAUUUUUAAAUUUUAUAUUUAAUUUUUAAAUUUUAAAUUUAAAAUCAAAUUUUAAUUUUAAAAAUCAAAAUUUAAAUUUAAAAAUAUAAAAUAUUAAAUAUUAAAAUUUAAAAAUUUAGAAUCUAAAAUUUAAAAUUUAAAAAUUAAAAUUUAAAAAAUUUUAAUUUUAAUUUUAUAAUUAAAAUUUUAAAUUUUAUAAUAAAUUUAAAAUUACCUCUUGUUCCUGGAACAAGCUUGCUUUAGGAACAAGCUUGUUCUAGGUAGGGGUGGAAACUAUUGUUCCCACCAAAAAAAAUUAGUAUUAGGAUAUAAGGAGGGAGAACAAGAGCUUAUUCCCUUUCUUAUACCCCAUCCAAAGUUAGUUUAUGUUCCACAGUUGACCUGAAAACUUUCUUUUUUACAAUCGACAUCCAAGAUUUAAUAGAAAAGCAAGACUUUUUCAGUGAUUGCAAGUGAUGGUCUCUAGCUGUUUCGAGUCGAAAAUAUAUUUAUGCCUCCCAAGCCAUAAAUUAAAUUUUUUAAAUAGCAACUGAUUAUUAAAUUUUAAUGUGGGUAUAUUAUGCAACCUAUUUCCAAACUAUAUAUUAAUUGGCGGUGCAAAGCUUUAAAAUGUUUAAAUCUUAGUCGUAACAAAUGUUUUAGUCGCUAGAAGACAAGGGAUUCUAUUGUAGUUUAUCAUAUCACUGCUCCUAAACCUGUUAGUCGUUGUACAUAGAAAGAGAUAUGCAAAGUCUAUAAAAAUAAUAUGGAAACUCUAUAAAGAAUUCCAUUAGUAUAAUAUUAAUCUACAUGUGAAGGAAUGGGAGGAGUUAAUUAUCCCGUAAUAAAGGUGACUUUUGAGUCCAAAUGUAGACGCAGUAUUGGACUUAGAAAUAGUAAUUUAAUUUGAUAUGUCAUGUUAGAAUUUUUUUAUAUAUGUAUAUUUAUGAGAGAAGGACACUUGCGGUGGGACUAGUAGGACCGAUACAUUUAAAAAGUUUGAGCUCUUUUGAAACAAAUCAAACUUCACAAACUAAAAUUAGAGUCAUGCAAUAUUCAGGGAUUGAUAGUGUAAUUAACUCGUUCAUAAUACCCUUAUGCUCCUAUAUUGUUAAUCUGAUGCUGUUGAUCUAUAUCAAUGCAGGCAUUUGCAUCAGCCUCCUUAUUAUUCUAAUUAUCAUGUUAUGUAUUCAUGUUAUAUUGGAAAGACGAAAGCUUAUAAAAGUUAAGGAGGAGAACUUCCAACAACAUGGAGGCUGGCUACUAUUGGAAGAAAUCAGAAAUAGACAAGGCCUUGCAUUUAAGAUGUUUACAGAAAAAGAGCUCGAACAGGCGACGAAUAAGUUUCACAAGAACAACAUCAUAGGGCAUGGAAGCUAUGGCACAGUAUAUAAGGGAAUUCUCAAAGACAAUCAUGUCGUAGCAAUAAAGAGAGCUAAAAUUAUUAAUGAGAGACAGAAGAAAGAAUUCGGAAAAGAGAUGCUUAUUCUUUCCCAGGUCAACCAUAGAAACAUAGUUAAGCUCCUCGGAUGUUGUUUAGAGGUGGAAGUUCCAAUGCUGGUGUAUGAAUAUAUUUCCAAUGGGAACCUAUUCCAGUUGAUUCAUGGCAACGGUCGUAGAAUCUAUAAAUCUUUGGAGACUCGUUUGAAAAUAGCUCUCGAGUCUGCGGAAGCACUUGCAUACUUGCAUUCGUCAGCGUCCCCUCCGAUAAUUCAUGGAGAUGUUAAGUCCGCAAACAUCCUUUUGGAUGAUCAUUUAAUGGCAAAGGUCUCUGAUUUCGGAGCUUCUAUGCUCGCUCCUAGGGAUGAAACACAGUUUGUCACAUUGGUGCAAGGGACUUGCGGUUAUUUAGACCCAGAAUACCUACAAACAUGCUUGUUGAUUGAUAAAAGCGAUGUUUAUAGUUUUGGAGUGGUUCUUUUGGAGCUCCUCACCGGUAAGAAAGCACUUCGUUUUGAAGGAACUGAAAGAGAGAUGAGCCUUUCAUCAUCCUUCUUAUCUGCUAUGAAGGAGGGUCGCUUCAGCGAACUUCUUGAUGAUCAGAUUAAGUAUAAUGAAGAUGUGGAAAGGAUUAAUGAAAUUGCUGUACUAGCAAAAGCUUGCUUAAAUGUCAAGGGGGAAGACAGACCCUCAAUGAAAGAAGUAGCAGAGGAGCUUGACAGACUCAAAAAAAUGAAGCAACAUACCUGGGAACAACAUAACCAUGCAGAGAUAGAAAGUUUGCUUGACAAUCUCUCAAGCUACCGUGAGGAAGAAAACACCGGUUUUUAUAGUUUAGAGAAGAAAGCUAUGCUAAGCAUAGAACCUGGACGUUGAUGCUAUAUAUAUAUAUAUAUAGAGAGAGAGAGAUGAGACAGAGAGAGAUGAGAGAGAGACCGAGAGAGAAAAUGAGAUGAGAGAGAGGAGAGAGAAGAGAUUAGGAGAGAUGAGAGAGAAGAUGAGAGAGAGAGAGAGAGAGAGAGAGAAUUGUGCUUCUAUGCUUUUAAAAUUACCCAAGUUAUUGGUGCCUGUAGAGUUUUGCCAUUGGAUUAAGAUAGAUGUCGGUUAGAAUGAUGUGGACCCCUAGGGUUGAGGGUUUGGUUGAUUGAAUAGUAAUGAUAGCGGAUGGAAAUGAUCCAAAAGGGUAGAUCUAACAGUAAAAAUUUACAAGCACCAAGUGCGUUGUGACGUUUACCAGCACCAUAAGCCUGGACUCAUAUAUUAUAUAUAAUAUAUAUAUAUAUAAUAUAGGAGAGAGAGAGAGAGAGAGAGAGAGAGAGAGAGAGAGUCUGGCUUGUAUAUUUGUAUAAGCACGAUGAUCUCCGUGCUAUCAAGUCAUUUUUGGGUGUCGGACUUUCGAAUCGACAAUCCGCCUCGUUAGGCUUGCACUAGAGUAUUGGAAGUACUUAGAAAAUAAAUGAUGAUUUUAUUAUCAUUUACUUAGUGGUCGAAAAGGACUCAAAUGAUCAAUAACAGUAAAAUUUACAAAAGUGUAUUAUAUGAUACUAAAAUUUUUAAAUAAAGAAUAUUAGUCUUAUUUAUAUAGUACAAAAAAAUAAUAUUAAAAAUAAUCUUAUUAAUUUGUUGGCCCCUUUGAUCACUAGGUAAUUGCUAUCGAAAAAUUAUAAAUUUAUUUUCUAGAUAUUUUCAAAUAUAUUAGAUCAAGUUUAAACGAGGCCAAUUGUCGAGUCAGAGUCGCAAUAAUCGAAAAAUGACUUGAUAACAUGGAGGCUACCGUUCUAAUAAAAGCACACAAGCCUAACUCCUCUCGCUCUAGUAUUUACUAUCUAGUUUCUAGCCCUUGGAUAGUAUUAUUCCACCCGCCUCUUCUACAUCCAAGACAUAUAUAAGGCUGGAAACUAGUAUAUAGUGAACAUUAUCCUUAUUUAGAUCUAAUAUUUUAAACUCUAGACAUUUAAAUCUUUGAACUUCUAGAUGAAAUGCAAGAAAUUCAUCUUUUGGAUCUUCCUAUCUUAGAUUAAGUGAAUUUGUUACACCAUAUGCAUUGCAUGUAACUUUCGCGGCUAGUAAUUAAUAAAAGUUGUGGUUGUUGUUGGCAACAAUAUUCUUAAACAUUAUUGUAUUCUCUCUCUCUAAUGACUUCACAUAAGAAACCACUUUGCAUUCUCUUUACUGAGGAAAAAGGGCUUUGGUUGACCCACACCUUUUGCAUUAAACCACAAUGAAAUUAAUCAGCCAAAGAGGACAAAUAAACAAAAAAACCCAAAUCUCACUCACGCCUAAUAGAACAAAUCAUUCAAUGAGAAUGAAGCUAUAGUACUCACCAAUUCCUUACAAUACAACAACAGAAUUUUCCUAUCUACUACGUAGGCUUUCCUCUCUCACCUACAAUGUUGGAGGAAAAUCCAAAAUCCUCUAUUAUUAUUAUUAUUAUAUUAUUUAUUUUAUUUAUUAUUUUUAUUUAUUAUCAUAUUCUUAGUUUGCUCCCGUUCGUGCGCCCUUAUGACCACCCCUUCCCCGUGCAUGCAUAGUGUGCUCUGUUAGUUAAUUCGCGUACUAUACGUGAAUUAUUCAAAAAAAACGCAAACCAUAUAAAAAUACUCCGUUUCGAAUUUUUUCAAAAUUCAGAAUAACGCAUUUUUUCUUUUCCAUGCUCAGAGAAUUCAGAUCAAAUCCGGAUCCCGAAUUAUAUUCUGAAAAUGCGGAUUAAGCAGCUCUGAAAAUAUGAAAUUUUUCGAAAAAAAAAUAGAUUGAACUGCGCGAAAGGAGAUUAUUUUCGAAUCUGUGCAGCGCAUACCACCGUCUGCGAGUCCGUGCACCUUCUCGUGAGCAGCUGACAUCUGCCCGUUCGAUUUUGAAAAAAAUAUGAGACGAAGCAAAAAGGAGAAGUUGAGAAGAAAAGAGCGGAGCAAGGAAGAAGAGAAUCCUGGUGUAGGGUUUGGGAAAUGUGCGGGUCCAGGAGUGUAGGGGGUUCGAAUGGCGGGGUCCACGAGGCUGCAACUCCAGUCUCGUGGACCGUGCAGGAGUGAGAGGUCCACGGUGGCCUCUUACUCUCUCGCCCCUUUGUGCGUGAGAUGUGACUCUCUCUCUCUCUCUAUAUGAUAUAUAUGUAUACUAGUAAAUGUACGUGCAAAUGCACAUAAUAAUUAUUAGAAAAAUUAUAAUUUUUUUAAAUUAUUUUUAAUUAGGCCAUAUUUAUAUGUAUUGUCAAAUAUGUAUCUAAAAAAUUUAAAAUAAUAAAUCACGCUAUUAGAAAGAUAUGCUUUAAAUGAUAAAUAAUUAACAAUAAUCUCUAAUGCAAAAAUUACUUUUGAAUUAAAUAGAAAAAUAAAAUCUGUUAGGAAAAUAAAUUUUGAAAUUAAAUCGAAAAAUAAAAUCCGUUAUCUUAAAAAGAAAUAUAUUUGAAAUAAAUAGAUAAUAUCUAAAAAAGAUAUUUUAAAAUAAAAUAGGAAAAUAUCUUUUAUAGGAUUUUCACACCCGUAAUCUGUUAUAGAAAACUUACUUUUGAAAUUAAAUAGAAAAAUUUAUAUUUUAGGAUUUUCACAUCAGUAAUCUGUUAUAGAGAACUUACGUAUUCAUUGCUGUUCUAUUUAUAUUUUUAUUCUUAUAUUUAAAAUUUUUUGUACGGAAAGAGAAAAAUGGACGCUAAUUUUUCCGCCGAAAAAUGGGUCUGUCGACAGACCCAAAUUUGAAUAUACGUGCUUUUAUAUAUAGUAAGUAUAGAUAUAUUAUUCUAUAUUAAUUUAUUUUUAUAUUUAUAAAAUCAUAAUUAUUUAUGAUAAUAGUAUAAAUCUAAAAAAAAUCAAUUUAAUAGACGAAUUUUUAUUCCGAAUUUUUUAAUGAUAAAUAUAAAAUUCUCGUAUAAAUCGCAUACACGAAUUAUUGACGAAUCCAAUUUUUAAACUAUAUUUUUCAACAAAUUUAAAAAUUAAGAUACGAAUUUUAUUCGUAUUUUAUCCAUACCGAAUUUAUAUUGUAUCCGAAUUAACUAACUAUGAUAGUGCGUGCAACGUUCGUUGCCCAACAUUCCACUUUUCACCCUUGCUUUAUAAAUAGGAACUCCACUGUUCAUGGGUCGUAUAUACACAUGACAGAGAGCUUUGUUUUGGAAUAGAAAAAGAAAAGAAAAUUAAAGAGAGAAGCCUCUGUUAUUUAAUUUUUUUCUAUUGUUUUGAUCUAUUUGGCUUGAUCUUUUUUAUCACCGGAUGUUUAAAGAGUCUCCGUCAAUUUUCUUCACGAUCGUGCUCGCAGAAGGAGGAAUUCCGGUCGAACCUUGGGGUGUUGUUCUCGUUUAAUCCUAUAUAUGAGGACGGGAAUACGCCUUAGGACAAUGCUAUGCACGCUUCCAGAUUAAUUAUUUUGGGAGCAUUCUUCCACAAUUUUUGGGAUUUAGCGAUAAUCUGUAAGUUAAUUUAUUUAUAUUUAUUACAAAAUUAGUUAGAUUUUAACCACAAUCAAAUUUUCAGUGCGGUAUUUUUUCAACAUACAAAACUUUAGCAGCGAAACUAUCUAUCGCUAAUCAUAUAGAUAGAUAAAAGAUUGGCCGGCUGGAAGAGCUUGCUCCUUUCCAUCGGAGGUGGCCUUACUUUACUAAAUACCGUCUUAAUUGCACUUCAUGCCUUUUUCAUUCUACCAGCUUGGGUUGGAGCCAACGAAUUAUCUAACUUCUUCCAUAUUUCAACAGAAUGGACUGUACGAAAUGAAAAAAGUACAACAACUCACGUUUCAAGAAUGUUUUUCCAGAUUUUUAUAUGGCCUCUCCGUCUAAAUCUGCAAUUGUUUACUUGCUUGCUCCAUGAAGUGGAGUGGAGUGGAACCUCCCUUGUUUUGGUCCUUGAACUGAACAAGCCCAAGAAUAGAAACAAAUUCUAACUUCAGAACCUAAAGAUUGGCAAAUGCUAAACUCUAGCGGCAUGAUACAAUGUCGGUGGACGAGUGAUUGGAUGUUCUCGGUAGUUUCAGCCAACUGAUUCCUGGCAUGUAGGGGUGUUAAAGACAACAAUUCAAUCUUAUUUGGAAGACCGGCCGCCGAGAUCUUCAUGUGGUUGAUGUGUGGAAUAGGAUACUUAUAGCUGAUAAUUUGAAAAGAAAAGGGGUUGGCUUGGACCGGAAUCAUGCAAUCUGUGCAAGAAGAAAAUAGAUAUUUUACCAUAAACCAUCUUCUCGAUUAGCAGAAGCUGGAACAAUCAUAAAAGAGAGAAAAAAUAAAAAGAAAAUACAGGUAAAAUAAGAUUUACUAACUAAAAGAAGAAUUAUGCUGGACUUCGAUCUACACAAAAUAGUUUCAAUCCAACCCUUUUUUAUGAAUCUCUAUCGUCUUGUAUAAACUUAAUUAGAAGGCUAGUACUCUCUUACGCACCAUACACCAAGCACAUGCAACUCUUCAUCAUCUCCAGCCUCUAAUUAUCCUAGCAUAUGGCCGUAGAAUACAAUAAUGUGCUUUACAUAUAGAGCCUACAAAACAUAUUCAAUUCUAAUAUAAUUAAAAAUCUUAUUCAAAUUAAUUUUAUAAUCAAUUUAAUUUUUAUAGAUUUAAAUAUUUAUUCUAAUUUAACCAAAAUCCUAACACAAUCCAUGCAGCAUCAUUUAGGCAGCAAUUUGAUUACUGCUUAAAUAUCCAAAAAAUGCUACGGUAAACUAUUUGUAAAACCAAUCAGAAAAUGAGGAAACAAUUUAUUUAUUUAUUUAUUUUUUUUUUAAUGUUUGAGAAAGAGGUAGACUAGCUACCUGCUUCAUUCAUUGAGAAAUAAACUAGGCGAAACAGUAUGGAAGCAGCUAGGGCUUCCAACAAUUAUUAUAUGUUUUAAUUAGAAGUUUCUAUACAAUCCUGCAUGAUAAUCACUAAUAUAUAUUCAUGUAUAACCAAUGCACUUGAAACCCUAUAUUUACACAUGCACAUGUAUCUAUUUUACACACAAAACCUCUGUCAUCACCAUCCUUCUAGCCCUAUUAAUGGUCAUGAAGCAGAGGUAAAGGUGCUCCUCCAGCUCAUCCAGCUGCUUCCUGAAGCUCACAUCUUUUCUCUGUACCUCCCGCACCACCUCCUGCACCAGCCUUCCCCGCCUGACGCGCCGCCGCUCCUCCUCGCACAUUCUCAGCAGCGUCGCCACGUGCUCCACCUCAUCCUGUAGCCGCGCCACGAGUCGGCUGACGGUAUCCAAAUCCCUGUUCAGUAUGUACGUCCCCUUUGCUGCCACGUCGAGCUGGGCUACCGCACGGCCCACCCGCGAAGACAUUGUGACCGGAAGAAGCGCGGGUAGAGCUACUAAAGCCAUCAACGCAUGCACCACGAUCAAUGCGCCGAUCACUGCCGUCGAGGCUGUGAUAAUGAUUAAAGAGAAACCGAAUGCUCGCUUUAGCCAGUUGACGAGCCGCAGCUUGGCUUUCGCCUUCUUGCGGCUUGCCUCGAGCUGCUUGAGCAGAUCGGCGGAGCCGCCUUGCACCAUGCGGAAUUGUCGUUGAGACGAAGCUAGAAAAUGAAAUGGAUUGAACGUCUUUGAAACCUCGGCAAGGUAUUUAUCAAUGGCUUGGAUGCUAUGCUGCGGCGGGGGGUUAUCGGAGACGAGCGAUCGGAGCACGGCCUUGAACGGGCGGUAUCGGGCGCGUAUCCGUUCAAUGUCCUUCAAGAUGAGGCUGAAGAGGAGGGAGGCGUUCGCAGUUUCGGAGUAGUAUUCGGAGAGGAGGAAGUGGACUUCCGGGUGACAAUGCUUUCGCGCAUCGGCGAGAAUUUCAGUGAUUGUAGCUUGGUCAGGGUCGAGCAAGUGCUCCGCGAAGAGGCGGUAGGAAGGGAGGCGGGCGGCCGCAGUGCUGCUGCUGCUGCUGCUGCUGCUGCUGCUCUCAUGACUCGGUUUAAGAGCGGCACCGUGGUCUAAGGUGAGAUCCAGCACGCGGGCCCAGAACUCGUUAUAGGACUCGGUGCGGAACGCACUUGCAUACUCCUCGCGGAGGUUGAAGCUCGUCGAAGCGAUCGGAAUGACGACUCCAUCGACUGCUGAUUCAAACAAAACAUGCAUGUAUAUAUGAGUAUAAAUAUGAGAAAGUAAUGCAUAUGUUUUGUUUUAUGAAAUGUACAUGAUGGGUGGUAUUACCUUUCUUAUUAGCUUGGUGUUUGCAUGAGCUAAAAAUGUUGAACUUCAUACACAUAUUUCCCCUCUAUUUUUUGGAUGCCCGAAUGAACUAUAAAUGAAAGAACAAUGGGUGGCGAGAGUGCAACCAAAGAAGAUGUAGAAGAAGAAGAAGAAGAAGAGAGCAAGAGAUGCUUCUAUAAGUAAAAAGAAGAAACCUUCUUUGAGAUAGCUAGAAGGUGAUGAGCUACUUAUUUGCAAGCUUGAAGGGACAGUAAGAUAUAUGCAUAUAUCACUUCUUUAAUUUAUUGAGGAAUGAUCUUUGAGUUAAAGGUUUAUUAUAUGUCACGGAGAUAACAUAGAAAGCUUAUAUACAUAAAUUAAUGGUAAAAAUGUAUAAAGACCCCUCGACUUUAGGCCAUUCUAACAUAGCUUUCUCAACCCUUUUUUUUAUUGAGACCUCUUAAUUAAUUUUUUAAAAAAUUAAGUAAUUUUAGUCAAAAAAAAUUUGGAGAUUCUAUCAAGUUCAUUGAUGCAGAUUUCACCAAAUUAAAUUAUUUUAUUUUGUUCAGAAAAUAAGCCUAGGUUAGUUAACAGUUCAUAACUAAUAGAACUAUUAAAUUUGAUAAAAUUUUUAAUUUAACUAAAAAAAAUUGGAAGUAGAAGGUGCUAUUUCAGAAAUCGUUAUAGUUGAGGGGUCUCCGUACAUUUUACUCACAAUUAAUUUUAGCCCCCGUGCCUUGGGGAAAUGGGUAAGGUUUCGGUGGAAGCUUAAAAGCAAGUACAAAGAGAGGCACGUACUCAACGGAAAACUUGGGGUUUUAGAGAGAGAGAGAGAGAGGAGAGAGACGCCGAGUACGUGUAUAUUAUAUCCUAAUCGUUUUCUAGCAAAUCAUAGCCGUGUGAUCAUCCUUAAAGGGCUAAAAUUUAACCGUGUGAUCUAUUUGUAAAAUCUAGUUUCUUGCUAAUUAAUACGCUGUUAGGGGACUUGGGGUGAUCCGUGGCUGAGAAUGUACGUACGUGGGCCCAUGCGGAUCUUUUUUCCGUUUCUUGUGGAGGGGGGUGAUAUUUUGUGGACACGUGGCAAUUUUUUAUGGUGACAUGUGGAUGAGGAGAUCUAUGAUAUUUAACUGUGGUCCAAGUGGGAGUGUUGAGUAUCUUAUUCAAGAAGUAAUUAUUAUAAAUAAUUAGUUAUAAAUACAGUAUAUAUAUAUAUAUAGAUAGGGCUGCAAAUGAGCGAGCCGGCUCGUGUUCGACUCGCGUUCGACUCGAUAUUUGGCUCGCUCGAGCUCGAUUCGAAAUUAAAUAAGCCGAGGCUUGAACAAAAAAAAAAAAACUCGAAAUUCAUGUUCAAGCCGAGCUUGAGUAUUACUCGGCUCGUUCGAAUUAGGCUCGAAAAGCUCGAAAAGCUCGAAUAUAUAUAUAUAUAUAUAUAUAUAUACAUACUAUGCUAUCGAAAGUAUAGAGGAUCUGGUGCUUUCGAUUUUUUGAUUCUUAGAUCAACUCCUUUAAUCAUUUCUUAUUUUUGAAUUAAUACUAUUAUUACCUUGUAAGAACCACUCAAUCCUAGGAGUAUUAUUUAAUCCUAGGGGGGAUCGCAAUCACCCCAACCAUACAAUUCUUAAUCAAAGGGUCAAAAAUUCGAAAAUAUCAAAUCCUUUAUAUUUUCAAUAGCAUAGUAGUUCUACAUUAUAUAUAUAUAUUAAAAAAUAUAUAUAUAUAUAAUAUAUUUUAAUAAUAUAUAGCCGGAGUGAAUAAUCUGAAUUUAGUUAAAAUUGGGCUAAUGUUGUUGGCCCAUAAAAACAAACCUAAUAGACAAAUAAAAGAGCGAAAUUUCACUAAAUUUAUACAUUUUUCCUUUCUUUCUUUCUUUUACAGAGCUUAAAUUUUCAAUAUGUUUCUCUCUUUCUCUUUUUCUGUCUCUCACCAUAAGUGGCCAAGCCGGAAGCCUUCCAAGUUACCAAGUAACAGCAUAUACCCGCCGUUGCCUACCUUGCUAUUAAUUGUAUACUUGAGAAAAUAUACAGAAUAUUUUUAACGUAAAAAAUUAUUAUUUAUAUAAAAUUUUAAUUUUAGUUAUAUAUGAUUGGAUAGUUUAAUCCAAUAUUUAUCUAUAUAAUUUAUUUAUUUUUGACUGCAUAAAUGAAAAUGAAUAAUAUGGAGAUUGAAGGCGGAAGAAAAGACAUAUGAAACUGAAAUGAUUAGAUAUUCAACUCAUAAAUUUUUUUUUUUUCAUAUUAUAAUACUAUAUUUUAUAUAAUUAUUUUGUACUUUGAACUAUUAGACAUAUUUUUGUAUCAAAUUAUAGAUAAUGUUCUAUACAAAUUAAACUAUUGAUCGUAUGAUGUUGAGAAUUUCAAGCGGCUCGUUUAGGGCUCGAGCUCGCUCGACUUGAAAUUAGGCUCGCUCGAGCUCGGCUCGAAUUAAUUUCAAUCCAAGCUUGAGCUUAAAUUUAGGCUCGAAAUUAAUUUCAAGCCGAAUUUGAGCUGAGGUAAGCUCGCUCGAGCUCGGCUCGUUUCCACCCCUACAUAUAGAACUAGGCUGGAAUACUAUUAAUAGUACCAAGUUAUUGGUGCUAUUGAAUUUUUAGCCUUUGGAUUGAGAAAUAUGCAGUUAGAAUGAUGUGGGCCCUCUAGGGUUGAGUGGGUGGUUGGUUGAAUAGUAUAAUCUAACGGGUAAAAAUAAUCAAAGGAGUUAAUCUAACGGCAGAAAACUUGAUAGCACCAAGUGUUUGGUGCUAUCGAUAGCAUAGCAGCCGGACUAUAUAUAUAUAUAUAUAUAUAUAUAUAUAUAUAUAGCUAGGCUACUAUACUAUCGGUAGUACGGAGCGCUCCGUGCUACCAAGUUGUUUUCGAUGAUGUGGCUUCCAAAUCGACGAUCGGCUCCGUUAGACUUGAUCUACACUAUUGAAAGUAUUUAGAAACUAAAUUUCAUAAUUUUUCGAUAUCAUUUACCUAUCAAACAAGUAGUCUAAAAUUGAACGGCUGAAAAUAAAAAUCUCAUAAAAAAUGAUGAUAAAAGAUUUAAAUUCAAGAUCAGAUAUACUGAUCUUACUCUAAAUAGUGAAAAGAAUUUUCUAUAAAAUUUUCAUCGCAUUUGGAUUGUUUCAUACCGUUAAACUCACAAACACACCACAUCGGCUAUUAAAAUUGUCAAUUUUGAGAUCUUUUGAUCACUAGUCAAAUGAUGUUCGAAAAAAUUUGAAAUUUAGUUUUCAAAUACUUUCAAUAGUGUAGAUCAGUCUAACGGAGCGAUCGUCGAUUUGAAAGCAUCAUCGAAAACAACUUGGUAGCACGCCGAGCGCUCGUGCUACGAUACAAUAGUAGCCCGGCGACUCUAUNNNNNNNNNNNNNNNNNNNNNNNNNAACUGCUAUCACACAUUAACUGCAUCUAGAGUGUCAUGCUCGCGACUGCCAAUUUUGGUCGGUUGCGGUGGUAUACGAACAGGAUACCGAACAAGAAGAACCUCUUCCUACCGCCCAAGGCUAACUAGGCUGGAAUUCUAAUCAAUAGCACUAAGUGUUGGUGGCUAUUAGUUUUUUAGACCUGAUUGAUAAAUGUCGGUUAGGAUGUAUGUGGGACCCUAGGGUUGAGUGCGGUGGGUGGUGAAUAGUAUAUAUAAUAUAUAUAUAUAUAUAUAUAUAUAUAUAUAUAUAUAUAUAUAUAUAGAACUACGUUGGAAUGCUUAUCAAUAGCACCAAAGUGUUAGUCUAAUUAGUUUAGUUCUUGCGAUUGAGAAAUGUGCGGUUUUAGGAUGACGUUGGACCCCUAGGUGUUGAGUAGGAGUGGUUGGUGAAUAGUAUAACUAACGGAGUAAAAAAUAAUUAAAAGGGUUAACAUAAUGGUUAGAAAAUUGAUAGAAACCAAAUACUUUGUGGCUAUCGAUAGCAUAGCACCGGACUAUAUAUAUAUAUAUAUAUAUAUAUAAUUGAGUUAGAAUACUUUUAGAAGCACCAAAGCCUGAUGCUGUAGUUUGUCUCGCCUUUGGAUUACUCCUGAUUACUACUAGUAUUAUGAUCAAAUACUAUUCUACCUACCACCAUCAUCUCAAACCUAAUAUCUCUUUAUACCAAUGGAGUUUAAAAACUCAAAAAGCACAACUAUUUGAGCUUUUGAGAAUAUUCUAGCCUCAACUAUUAUAUAUAUAAAUAUAUAAUAUAUUAUAUAUAUAUAUUAUAUAUAUAAUAUAUAUAUAUAUAUAAUGUAGAGCUACUAUGCUAUUGGAGCCAAAAACUAGGUUGGUGUUCAUUCUUUUAUGCCUUUAGAGUCAAACAUUCUACAGUUGAUGAUAGCGUCCCCUUACGUGAGUACUCUCCCAUAGGGUUGAGUGUCAUCCAUUGCUUCCGAUAGCAUAGUAGCUUCUAUACUAUAUAUAGUAUAUAUAUAUAUAGUAUAGAACUAAGCUACUAUAUAUUAAUUUAGCCAAAAAAACCCCAAGUCAUUUGGUGCUACCAAGUUUUAGGCCAUUGGAUAAGAGAGUGUGUUUAGGAUGUAUGGGCCCCCAUAGGGUUGAUUAGCGUGGUUGGUUGAAUAGUAUGAUUUAACGUCAUUGAAAAUGAUCCAAAGGGGUAGAUCUAACGCCGAAAAACUUUAGCACCAGUGCUUCGUUCUAUUAAUAGCAUAGUACCGGAGCUCUAUCAUAAUAUAUAUAUUAUAUAUAUAGUAUAUAUAUAUAUAUAUAUAUAUAUGGAUAGGAUUUGCAUUUAAAGCGCUCCAAAUUCGAUACAAUUGGAGUGAAAAACCCUGCCAGCAUGCAACAUUUACGUGUAGCACCAUUCCAAGGAGCUUUACGCGGAUUUAUGCAUUAAAUACAUUAUUUCCACAAUUGAGAUUCUUCGGUAAAGUCUCUGUCUCAACUUCGAGUCCGUGCCGUUUUGUUCAAAGUGUCAGAAUUUAGCGAGACUGUUAUCAGCGUUCCCCUCUGAGUAUAAUUUAUGUUUUUUGAACCAAUCCAUCACCAAAACUCAACGUUUCGCAAUAAAUGAUGCUUCUCGGGAAGUGCUCCAUUUCCAACAAAUUUCUAAUAUGCAAUUUAAACCCUCCAAACUCAAUAUUUCCCUUCCAAUAAUUCACCAGUGCGAUAAUUCACACAAUGUGCUACCCUUGAGUUUCGUGCAAUUCAGUAUAUAUGAAAUGCUCAUACCUUUUCCAUUAAAACCCAAAUUCCGCAAAGGUCAUAUAUGAUGAGCAGCCAGAUUUCUCGAGACCGUACAUCGAACAUAAUAAUCUGCCUACACCAUGGCAUCGGCUAUAAGUUAGUACAGUUGAAAAAAGCUAUUGAAUUACUAGAACAGAGGUCGGUACCGACAGAAGCCAUCUACACUCAACGGCCCUAUUUCGAAAAUACGAGUUAGUAUUCAUUUUAAGGUGAAAAAGUAAAAUCACGUAUUAAAAUCUUUAUUUUAAAUAUUUUUGCCUGAAAUUUAUUCGGACUAGUUUAAAAUUAAAAUACACACGACAAACAGCUAAACAGAUGUCAAAUUUUUAUAGGGAGAAAAUUCAAUCUCACAACUCAUUAGGAAUAUUCCUACUCUAUUAUUAUUAGUUACUUCUUACUUUCUUUUUAUUUGCGUAUGAAUGAUGAUGGCUACGAACAUACGAAAAACAUGAUUGCGUGAUUAUAUCUUCUAAUAGUUGACAAUGACAUUUUUAAUAGAAAGCUUCUAUUAUAUAUGAUUGACAUAUACCGUGUGGAAUAAUCGGGGGGCGGUUAAGCAAGGCCAUGUUGCCUGCUUAAUGACUUGAAUAUCCUUCAUGCCAUAUCUAUGCUUAUAUUAUAAUCAUAUUUUACUUGAAUAAUAUUAUUUUAUGAUUAUUUGUUAUAUUUCUGUAUUUAUGAAGGCCAAUGUUCCUCUUUAAUACAGUAUACCUUUCAUAUCUAUGCAUAUAUUAUAAUUAAUAUUUCUACUUGAAAAUAUGUUUAUGAUUUAUUUUGUGUAAUUUUCUUAUUUUAUGAAUCAGAUAAGCUUAACAAAUUAUAGCACAAGCUGCUUAAUAUAGCCCACCUCCAAGAUAUAAUUAAUAAACGACUUAAAAUAGUCAAUUGAAUUUAAUAAACUAGACUAGAAUAUCAUCGAAAAUUAAUAAACUAUUGACUAAAAGGCCAUCGAAUUUAUAAUUGGCAUAGAAAUAGUCAAUCUAAUUAUUCAUAUCUCACUUUGAAAAAUAAAAAAAACUACAGAUUGUCACAAUUAUAGCCCCCACCUAAGAAGAUACAUUAAUAAAAAAUUGUACUAAGAAUAGCCAAUCGAAAUAAAUAACAGGACUAGAACAGUCAUCGAAUUUAAUAAGUUGAAUUAGAAUAGUCAAUUUAUUAUCAUAUCAGUUUGAAAAAAAAAAAAAAUUACAAGACUCCCCGAAAUUAUAGGAGAGAGAAUAAACAUGAGCUAUAUGCAAACAAUUGAAUAUUCAUGAUUUGCGUUGUCUCAUUUGGUCUGUGUGUAGUCCUUCGUUUAAUCCGACUCCAAUAGGUCAUCUCUUACAGGAAAGUUUCCUCGUCCUCGAGAAUACACAUCUAUGAAACUUAUAUUGAAGCUACAAUAUUUUUUGCCACGUGGCAUGUUUCACCUGCCCCACUCCUCUAAUUAUAAUGCAAGGUGCAAUAUUUAAUUAUAUACAACUUUAAAUCCAACUUUAAAUCAAACCACCUUCUCUUCUUCUAACUUCAAUCCUUCACCUUCCCAACUCCUCUAAUUGAUUGCAAAAGCGCGAACAUUUAAUUGCAGCACCAUAUUAAUAUUCUAUUUUCAAUGAGUAGUUUUAUAACUUUAUACCACUCCCUCCUCUUAUUAAUGUUCCCGCCCUUCUCUUUUGUAACUCUUUUGCAUGAUCAUAAAAACAAGUAUAUGAUCGUUUAAUCUCCCACUCCACACUCAUUCUCUCUCUGUUCUCUCACUGUGUUAGUGAAAGAAGAAGAAAAAGAAGAAAAAAAAAGACAGAGCUCUGAAGAACAUUGUCUCUUUCGAGAAGAUCAUUUCCUGCGAAGCCAAAGCCGCGCAUCCAUAUAAGCUGCCAGCUAACCAGUCCGUGCGGGAGCCUUUACUCGCUAUAUGAAUUUAGUCAUGCAAAUGACUGUGCUUAAUAUGAUAUUAGUCUUGCCUAUAUUAUCAAUAAACCUGUAAAUAUAAUUUUCAUUAAAAUUUUCAAAUUUUACUUCUAUUAUUUACCCGCCCUGGCCACGCGCUGGUCUUUACACUAGUUAUAUUAUAUUCUACCUAUAGCAUAUGAGAUCGUUAAGUAUCUAAUAAGAGAGAAUGCCUAUUUGCACAGUUAAAAGUUGGAUAUAAAUCUUCACAUGCCAACCAUCUAAGAGUUUAACAGUAGUUUUUUAUAUUUAAUAUUAGAAUAUUGAUUGAUAAAGUAGUGUGAAAAAAACUUGACCCUUCUUAUUAUAAAGGAGAAAAAUUUACACCAACUUUUGGCUGUAAAUAUAGCUAGCAUUGUGCUCAAUACAUAAGAAUAACUAUAAUAUUUUAUAUUAAAAUAGUAUUUUAGCAAAUUAGAUUUAAUAAAAUUAAGGCAAUAUAGAAAGUUUUUAAUUAUCAUAUAUUAUUUCUAUAUCAAAUGACUAUCAACGUGAGUUACGACCUUUUGACUAAUUCACAAUGGUUGUGAACUAUCCAGACAAGACUGUUUAAAUCCUCACAUCUUUAAUUAAUGACUGGGGAUACCACAGCUUUCGGUGAGAUAAAAAUCGUGAACACCCCCACUUUAGCACAUUAGGAAAUAGGCUCUCAACUUUCUUUUUUGUGGAUUGAGAUUUCUCUAAUAAGUAUUUAUCUAAAUACAUUAAUUUUUUUUUUUUCAAAAUCAUAAGUAAUUUGAUCAAAUUCAAUAGGUUCGAUUAAUUUUUACUAAUAAACUAGAAAAAAAACAUUAAAUAUAUAGAUAAUAUUAUCCUUAAGUUUUUUUUAAAAAAAAAUAAUCAACUUCACUAUGCCCCUAAGUUAAAAGACUAAAAUAAAAAAAGGAAAGUUAAAACAGCCUCAGUCAAAUAAGUUGAAAUUCGACAUGCACCAGUGUUACACUGUAAAACUCAUGAACCAACAUAAUAUGUAAUUAUUAAUAUUCUUUAAAUUGAAAUUGUUAAUUUACUUGAUGUGAUCUAAAAACCUAAGAGCUUAUGUAUCAAAAAUUGGUUCAUUUAAAGAUCUUAUUCUAUGCCUUAAGUGUUUAAAAAAUCGUGAUAUGAAUGAGAAUUAUUAUUUAAUCUAUAAAAAAUAUUGUUCAAAAUGUAAGUUUCAGUAGAUGAUCUAUUAUUGAGCUUUAGCGGCGCCAUGCUGUGUAUGAGAGAGACCUUAUGAUGAGAAAUGCCACUUGUAAGCUAAAGUUAGGCGUAAAGGAUUUUGCCCAACUUAUUCAAGAAUUCACACAUUUGAAUUUGUAAUAUUAAAAAUUUAAAUGUUGAUAAAAUUACUGUGAAAGAAAUUAGUCUUGAACAGCUGAGAAUAUAAAAUUAUAUGUAAAAACAUUAUAUAACUUUCUGAAUUAAAACCAUUUAAUUUAGCUACUCCAUCUUACUAAAUUUAAUUUUACUAUCGAAUUUUUAAAGUUUGUUGAUUUUAGUCGAUCAAUGACACUUUGACUUUAAAUCUUGAUGUAUCCGUUACCCUUUAUAGCGUUAGUUAGUAUCUUUUUAUACAUUUUCGAUCGUAAAUAAUAAAUUUUACUAAAAUAAGUAGUUAGCUCAAAUUUUGAAGAUUAUAAAUGUUGUGACUAACUCAAAUUAAAUGAAUUGAGAGAUUAGACAGUAAAAUCAAAUUUUGAAAGAUACGAAGCAAGUAGCAAAUCAAAAAUAAUCUAAGUUUUAAAAUAAAUUCGUUUGUUUUUUCACCAAAUAUACUCUCGCUGGUGUAGAUAUUAUACUGGCCUUCUUCGAAAUAAAAUACUCUCUUUUGUUUAAACUUCUAAGAAAUAAUUUUUUUGGGUGUUUAUACAUACACCAAAAAAAAAAAAAAAAAAAAAAAAAAAAAAAAAUCUGUAGUUGUCGAAUGAGUCAAAGCGAUUAUCCAACAGCAAUAAUGGUCUCCUGGCGCCUCUUAUUCAAGGGCCCCCUUCCGUCUAUAUAAACACCAAUGUAUAGAGUGCCACCCCCCCAACAAGGCUGAAAUUAACAAAUGGGUUGAAAAACAAAAAAAGCAAACUAAAAGGAACUAUGAGUGUAAAGAAAAACAAUCAUCCCCACCCCGAAUAGUCGUUUCUGUGGGACUACUUGUGCUCUGCUCCGGGCAUUGAGCUCACAUCUGCAUCAGUCGCAUUGGCCGGGAUGCCUGGAACGAUGGGCGACGUCGAAUCCCUAUCCGUCGGCAUCGGGCCGGAACUGGCUCGAUGGAGGUUACACUCAACUGGCACCCUUAGACAAAGCCACUCCACAAGCUUCGCUGAACCAGCAUGAUAUCUGAUGCAUUUCCUAUCAUUGGCCUCGCGCCGUUGUUGCUGCUAUGUGUAUCGAAGCCCAAUGCUACAAUGGCCACUCGGCCAGCAAUGUGACUAUACAACGACUGGCGAGAUGAACGCCUUUGGCGUCACCAUACGUUCUCUAGGCACGCCUCAACAAGUUUAUCACCAUCGGCUGUAUGACCGCUGGCCUACCUCAUAAGGAGCAACACGCCAAAUAGGCUAUGGCGAAUAGUAGCUAUUGUCGCGGCGUGUGUAUCAAUGUGCAGAGGAGGGACGACUUGAAACAAUGGCUCGUGCCAGCUGGCAAUCGGAUGGCUUGCCCCAGACUGCCAUCCGCGAAGGGAAUGUGUGCAGCUACCAGAGUUGUGGUGUUGCGUCGAAAACUAUUCACUCGCACAACACAUACAAUUUGAGCCGGGCAACUAGCCGCCGCGUGGUGGAUGAACGCGCCUUCAAUUUCAGCACCUCCUACAUCAGCUACGCGAUGAGCUGUACGGAGAACUGCUGGCCGUUGGUGAUCAAUCGGGCCGUAAGAAACAAAGACGUGCUGGGAACCGCGCGAACAUGAACUUCCUACUGCAUGCCGUAGAGGAGAACAGCACGCUGCCUAGAUCUCCGCCAGACGGGCCCGCUAUGCUCUGUAAUUGCUUCCGAGGGUUAUCAAGCACACCCUUAUCUACCCCACGGGUGCCAGGUUGCAUUCUCUCUCUCUCUCUCUCUCUCUCCUCCUCUCUCUCGUUACAAACAUCUUUCUAUUAUUUUGUGGAUGCUGUGAGAAAGUUUUUCUGGCUCGGAUAGUUAAGAGCAUAUAUAAGAUUAUAAAUUAACCAUCUUUAAAUGUUAUAAAUAAAUAUUAUUUUGAUACUGAUAUACAUUAUAUUUAUAUUAGGCGAUUCAUACGUCAAUCAGUUAAAAAGGGGUAUUUAAUGUGAAUUAAAAUAAUGGUAUCGAAAAAUUCUAAUAAUAAUAAUUAAUUAUGAUAUUUGAAAUAUUUUUGCAAUGGUAGCAUAGUGUUGGAUUUGGUAUAUUUAAUUAUUAGUACUUAGAGCGAAUACAUGUGCCAAAAGGUAGGGCCUCCAAAAAAAGAGGGGUGAUUUUUGAUGAGAAGAGUGAACGCAAGCUGUAUGUUAAAAAACUAUAUAUAUACACACAAAGUGAAUAGUUUUUUUUUUUUUUUAAUACAAAAUAGGUUAAUUAAUCUUUCUUAAAAAACAAUAGUAGUCCUCUUUGAAAUAUAAUUUGAAAAGUAAACUGCACAGAUCAAAUUGCCCCACGCCAGUUAAAUCUCUGCGUCUAAACUCAAUUUUGAGACUUGGAUCCUUGAUGAACAUUGUGUGAGCGGGAAUGGAUAAUCGACAAGUAAUCUAAAUUUAAGUUAAUUUUUUCUUUGGGAAUUUUGUGAUAUGUGAACAGAUAUUGAUGACGUGUGCAUAACAAGGAUGGGUCCUCCAUGCUCGGGAUUCACAAAUCGACAAGUGGUCUGCGAUGCAGUCCAUGCAACGGAGUCACAUGCGACCUUAUAAGGAACUGCUACGCGCGAAAAUCUCUCAGCGGCAGCCGAAGCUAGGUUAUAGGGAGCUCUUCCACCUUUUUUGGCAAGGCGUUUAUUUGGUCUUGAGUAUAGUAAAAAUUAAUUUAUUUAAGAAUAAAAUAAAGUUCAGAUUUAACAGCAAGAGAUUAAAUUAAUUUUGUAUUUUGAUAAAAGUUAAAUGUGUUCCGGCAGAGCAAUAAAAAAAUAUAACGUAUGGAUAGAAAGUAUGGAAUAUAAGGAAAAAUGAUGAUAGUUAAAUACAAAAAAAUGAUUAUACUCCUCAUUUAAAUUGAAUUUGAAUUAAUUAAUUUAAAUUUUAUAUUUUAUAUUUUAAAUUUAAAUUUAUAAAAAUCAUUUUAAUUUUAAAAAUCAUAAAUUUAAAUUAAAAAUAUAAAAUAUAAAGAUAUUUAAAUUUAAAAAAUUUAACAUCUAAAAUUUAAAAUUUAAAAAUUAAAAAUUUAAAAAAUUUUUAAUUUAAUUUUUAUAAUUAAUUUUAAAUUUUAUAAUAAAUUUAAAAUUUACCUCUUGUUCCUUGGAUACAACUUGCUUUAGAACAAGCUUGUUCUAGGUAGCGGUGAAACUAUUGGUUCGCCACCAAAAAAAAUUAGUAUUAGGAUAUAAGGAGGCGAACCACAAGAAGACUAUUCCUUCUUAUAUGGCGCCAUCCAAAGUUAGUUUUGUUCGCACGAGUUGACACUGAAAAUGCUUUCUUUUUUACAAUCGAUCAUCCAAGAUUUAUAGAAAGCAAGACUUUUUCAGUGAUUGGGCAAGUGAUCGUCUCUAGGCUGUUUCGCGGAGUCGAAAAAUAUUGUAUGCCUCCAACGCCAUUAAAUUAAAUUUUUUAAAUAGGCAACUGUUAUUAAAUUUUAAUGUGGGAAUAUUAUGCAACCUAUUCCUCCAACUAAUAUAUUAAAUUGGCGUCAAAGCUUUAAAAAUGUUUAAAUCUUAGUCGUCAAGCAAAUGUUUUAGCUCGCUAGAAAGACAAAGGGAUUCUAUUUAGUUACUCAUAUCAUGCUCCUAAACUGUUAGUCGUUGUAGCAUAGAAAGAGAUAUUGCAAAGUCUAUAAAAAUAAUAUGGAAACUCUAUAAAAGAUUCGCAUUAGUAUAAUAUAAGUCUAACAUGUGAAGGAAUGGGAGGAUUAAUUAUCCCGUAAUAAAGGCUGACUUUUGAGUCCAAUGUAAGACGCAGUAUUGGACUUAGAAAUAGUUAAUUUAAUUUGAAUGUCAUGUUGGAAUUUUUAUAUAUGUAAUUUAUAUGAGAAGGACACUUGGGUGGGACUCAGUAUGGACCGAUCAUUUUAAAAAGUUUGAGCUCUUUUGAAACAAAAUCAAACUUCACAAACUAAAUAAGUCAUGCCAAUAUUGCAGGAAUUGAUAGUUAAUUAACUCGUUCAUAUAGCCCUUAUGCUCGCUAUUAUUGCUUAAUUUGAUGCUGUGAGUCUAUAUCAAAUGCAGCAUUUGCAUCAGCCUCGUCUUAUUAUUUAUUAUCAUGUUAUGUAUUAUGUUAAUUGAAGACCGAAGGUCUGGUAUAAAAUUAAGGAGGAGAACUUCCAACAAUCAUGGAGGCUGGCUACUAUUGGAAGAAAUCAGAAAUUAGCCAUAGGCGCUUGCAUUUAAGAGUGUUAAGACAAAAGGCUCGAACAGCGACGGAAUAAGUUUCUCAUAGACAAACACAUAGGCAUGGAGCUAUGGCAGCAGUAUAAUAAGAAUCUCAACAGCAAUCAUGUAGUCGUUAGCAAUAAAGCAGAGCUUAAAUUAUAUAAUAGAGAGCAAAGAAAGAAUUCGGAAAAGAGAUGCUUAUUCUUUCGCUCGAGGUAAGCCAUAGAAACAUAGUUCACCUCUCUCGGAUUGUUUUAAGGUGAAGUUCCAAUGGCUGGGUGUAUGGAAUUAUUUCGCAAUGGCGAACCUUAUUCCAGUUUUGAUUCAUGGCAACGGUCGGUAAAUCUUAUAAAUCUUUGAGAGAGCUCGCUUUGAAAAUAGCUCUCCCGAUGUCUGCGGAAGCACUUGGCAUACUUGCAUUCGUCAUGCGCGCCCUCCGAUAAUUCAUGAAUGUUUAAGUCUCGCAAAACACCUUUUGAUGAUCAUUAAUGCCAAGGUCUCUGAUUCGAGCUUCUAAUGCUCGUCCUAGGGAUAAGACACAGUUUGUCAGCAUUGGUUGCAAGGUGAGCUUGCGUUAUUAGACCAGAAACGCCUACAAACAUGGUUGUUGAUUGAUAAAAGCCGAUUUUAUAGUUUGAGUGGUUCUUUUGGAUGCUCUCACCGCCGUAAGAAAGCAUUCGUCUUUGAACGAAAAUGAAAAGAGAGAUGAGCCUUUCAUCAUCCUUCUUAUCUGCUUAUGAGGAGGGUCGCUCAGCGAACUUCUUGAUGAUCAGAUUAAGUAUAGAUGAAGAUGUGAAAGCGAUUAAGAAAUUGCAUGUACUAGCAAAAGCUUGUCUUUAAAUGUCAAGGCGAAUGACAGACCCUCAUGAAAGAGUAGCAGAGGAACUUGACAGACUCAAAAAAUGGAAGCCAACAUACCUGGGAAGCAAGCAUAACACAUGCAGAUAUGAAAGUGUGCUUUGACAAUCUCUCAAGCUACAGCCGAGAAGAAAAACACCCGGUUUUAAUUUAGAAGAAAGAAAGCUAUGCAUAAGCAUAACCUGACCUUGAUGGCUAUAUUAGUAUAAUAUAUAUAUAUGAGAGAGAGAGAGACAGGAGAGAUGAGAGAGAGACGAGAAGAAAAGAGAUGAGAGAGAGGAGAGAGAGAGAUAGAGAGAUGAGAGAGAUAAGAGAGAGAGGAGAGAGAGAAUUGUGCUUCUAUGCUUUACAAUAAAAUACGCAGAGUUAUUGGUGCCUGGUAGAGUUUAUUGUCGCAUUGAUUAAGAAUGUGGUCUAGAAUGAUGUGGAGCCCCUAUGGGUUGAGUGGUUGGUUGAUUGAAUAGUAUGAUAGCCGGAUGGAAAUAGAUCAAAAGGGUAAUCUAAACAGUAAAAAUUUACAAGGCACCAAGUGCUUUGUACGUUUAGCCAGCACUACCUGACUCAUAUAUUAUAUAUAGAUAUAUAUAUUAUAUAUAGAGAGAGAGAGAGGAGAGAGACGAAGAGAGAAGAGAGAGUCUGGCUUGUAUAUUUGUUAAUAAGCACGAUGAUCUGCGCGUGCUAAUCAAGUCAUUUUUGGCUGUUCGGUACUUUCGAAGUCGACAAUCCGCUCGUUAGGCUUGACUAAGUAUUGGGAAGUUAGUUAGAAAAUAAAUUUUGUGAUUUUAUUAUCCAUUUACUAUAGUGGGUCGAACGGUACUCAAAGAUCAUAUAAGCAUGUAAAAUUUACACGAAAGUGAUUAUAUGAUAUCUAAAUUUUUAAUAAAGAAUUAGUCUUAUUUAUACUAGUACAAAAAAAUAAUUAAAAUAUAAUCUUAUUAAUUGUUGGCCCCUUUGAUCACUAGUAAUUGCUAUCGAAAAAUUAUAAAUUUAUUUUCUAGAUAUUUUCAAAAUAUAUUUAGAUCAAUUUAAACGAGGCCCAAUGUCGAGUCAGUGUAGGUCGAGCAUAAAUCGAAAUGACUUGAACAUGGAGUAGGCCCCCCCCGCCCGCCCGCCCGACCGUUCUAAUAAAAGCACCAAAGCUAACUCUCUCUCGCUCGUAGUAUUUACUAUCUAGUUUCUAGCCCUUGCAUGUAUUAUUCACCCGCCCUCUCUACAUCCAAGACAUAUAAGGCGCUCGGGACUAUAUAUGAGUGAACAUUAUUCCUUAUUUAGUAUCUAUAUAUUUAAACUCUAGACAUUUAAAUCUUGAACUUCUAGAUGAAAUGCAAGAAAUUCAUCUUUUGGUAUCUUCCUAUCUUCUUAGAUUAACGUGAAUUUGUUAAGCCAUAUGCGAUUGCAUGUAACUUCGGGUAGUAAUAAAUAAAAGUUGUGGUUGUUGUUGGCAAAAUAUUCUUAAAUCAUAUUGUAUUUUGCUCUCCUCUAAUGACUUCACAUAAGAACACCACGUUUGGCAUUCUCUUAUGAGUGAAAAAGGCUUUGUUGACCCACACCUUUGCAUUAAACCACAAUGAAAUUAAUCAGCCAAAGAGUAGACAAAUAAACAAAAAAACCUCAAAUCUCACUCACGCCUAAUAGAACAAUCAAUUCAUUGAGAAUGAAGCUAUAGCUAGGCAUCACCAAUUGCUUACAAUAUCAACAACAAAUUUCUAUCUACUACGUAGGCUUUGCCUCUCUCACCUACAAUGUUGGAGGAAAAUCCAAAAUCUCUAUUAUAAAAAAAAACAAAGUAUUUUUAUUAUAUUAUUUAUUUUAUUUAACUUAUUUUUAUUUAUUAUCAUAUUCUUACGUUUGUCCCGUCGUGGCGGCCCGCUUUAUGACGCACCCCCUUCCCUCGUGCAUGGCAUAGUGUGCUCUGUUAGUUAAUUCUGGCGUACUAUACGUGAAUUAUUCAAAAAAAAACGCAAACCAUAUAUAAAAUACUCGUUUCGCCGAAAUUUUCACAAAAUUCAGAAUAAACGCAUUUUUUCCCAUGCUCAGAGAAUUACAUGAUCAAAUCGGGCAUUCUCACCAAUUAUAAUUCUGAAAAAUGCGGAUUAGCACUCUGAAAAUAUGAAAUUUUCGAAAAAAAAAAUAGAUUGACUGCUGCGGAAAGGAGAAUUUUCGAAUCAUGGCAUGGCGCAUAGACCACCGCUCUGCGAGUCCGUGCACUCUUCUCGUGAGGCGUAGCUGAGGCAAUCUGGCCCGUUUCGACUUUGGUGAAAAAGAAAUAAUGGAGACCGAAGCAAAAAGGAGAAGUGAGGAAGAAAAGAAAAAAAAAAGCGGAACAAGAGAAGAAGAAUCCGGUGUGAGGGUUUGGGAUGGCGGGUCCAGGAGUGUAGGGGUUCGAAUGGCGGGCGUCACGAGGGCUGCACUCAGUCUAUCGUGACGCGUGCAGGAGUGAGAGGUCACGGUGGCCUCUACUGCUCUGGCGACUGCCUUUGUUGCGUGAGAUCGUGACUCUCUCUCUCUCUCAUCAUGUAUAUAUUAUACUAGUAAAUGAGCGUGCAAAUGCACAUAAUAUUAUUAGAAAACAUUAUAUAAUUUUUUUAAAUUAUUUUUAAUUAAGGCAUAUUUAUAUGAUUUUCAAAUAUGUAUCUAAAAAAAUUUAAAAUAAUAAAUCACGCUAUUGAGAAAGAUAUGCUUUAAAUGAUAAAUAAUAAAAUAAUCUCUAAUGGCAAAAAUUAUUUAUUGAAUUAAAUAGACAAAAUAAAAUCUGGUUAGGAAAAGUAAAAUUUUGAAAUUAAUAUCGAAAAUAUAAAAUCCUGUUAUCUUAGAAAAGAAAAUAUUUUUGAAAUAAAUAGUUAAUAUCUAAAAAGAUAUUGUAAAAUAAAAUAGGAAAAUAUCUUUUUAGGAUUUCACACCGUAAUCUGUUAUAGUAAAAUCUUACUUUUGAAAUUAAAUAGAAAAAUUAUAUUUUAGGAGUUUACAAUCAGUAAUCCUGAAUUAUAGAGAAGCUUACGUAGUUCAUUGCUGUUGCUAUUUAUAUUUUUAUUCUGUAUAUUUAAAUUUUUGUACGGAAAGAGAAAAUGGACGCUAAUUUUUCGCCGAAAAAUGGUCUAUGUCGACAGACCGCAAAUUUGAAUAUACGUGUUUAUAAUAUAGUAAGUAUAGAUAAUAUUAUUCUAUAUUAAUUUAUUUUAUAUUUAUAGAAAUCAUAAAUUAUUUAUAAUACAGUAUAAUCUAAAAAAAAUCAAUUUAAUAGACGAAUUUUUAUUCGCAAAUUUUUAGAUCGAUAAAUAUACAAAUUCUCAAAAGUUAUAAAUCGCAUACACGAAUUAUUGACGAAUCAAUUUUAAUAACUAUAUUUUUCAAGCAAAUUUAAAAAUUAAGAUACGAAUUUUAUUCGUUAUUUAUCCAUACCGAAUUUAUAUCUGUACUCGAAUUAACUAACUAUGAUAGGCGUGCAACGUUGUUGGCCAACAUUCCACUUAUCUCACCUCUUGCUUAUAAAUAGUAACUGCCACUGUCAUGGGUCUAAUACACAUACCAAGAGAUGCUUUGUUUGAUAUAGAAAAGAAAGAAAAAUUAAAGAAUGAACCUCUGUUAUUUUAAUUUUUUUCUAUUGUUUUGAUAUUUGGCUUGAUCUUUUUUACACGCGAUGUUUACAAGAUCUCCUCAAUUGUUCUUCACGAGUGCUCGCAGAAGGAGAUUCCGUCGAACCUUGGCAGGCGUGGUUUUCUCGUUUAAUCCUAUAUUAAUGAAGCGGAACUACGCCUUAGGACAAUGCUAUGCACGCUUCAGAUAAUUAUUCUUGGGAAGAUCUUCGCACAAUUUUUGGGAUUUAGGAUAAUCUGUAAGUUUAAUUUAUUUAUAUUAUUACAAAAUUAUUAGAUUUUAAGCCACAAUCAAAUUUUCAGUCGCGGUAUUUUUUCAACAUUACAAAACUUAGGCAGCGAAAUAUCUAUCGGCUAAUCAUAUAAUAGAUAAAAGAUUGGCCGGCUGGAAGAGCUUGACCUCCUUUCAUCGGAGUUGGCCUUAGCUUUAGCUAAUAUCCGCGUCUUAAUUGGCCUUCAUGCCUUUUCAUUCACCAGGCUUGGUUGGAGCAACGAAUAUUCUAACUCUUCUCAUAUUUCAACAGAAUGACUGUACGAAAUGAAAAAAGCUACAACAACUCACGUUUCAAGAAUUUUUUCCAGAUUUUUAUUAUGGCCUCUACCGUCUAAAUGCUGCAAUUGUUUAGCUUGGCUUGCUUCCAUGAAGUGGAGUGGCUAGUGGAACCUCCCCUUGUUUUGCGUCGUUGAACUGAACAGCCCAAGAAUAGAAACAAAUUCUAAAACUUCAGAACUAAAGAUGGCAAAUGCUAAACUCUAGGGGCUGAUGCAUACAAUGUCGGUGGACUCGAUGUGAUUGGAUGUUCUCCGGUCAGUUUCAGCAAACUGAUUCCUGGCAUGUAGGGUGUUAAACACAACAAAUUCAAUCUUUAUUGGAAGACCGCGCCGCCGAGUCUUCAUGUGAGUGACUGACUGUUGUGAAUAGAUACUAAACGUGAUAAUUUAAAAGAAAAGGGGUUGGCUUGGACGGAAUCAUGGCAAUCUGUGCUAAGAAGAAAAUAGAUAUUUAGGACAUAAACCAUCUUCUUCGAGUUGCAGAGCUGGAACAAUCAUAAAAGAGAGAAAAAAUAAAAAAGAUAAAUACAGUAAAAUAGAUUACUAACUAAAGAGAAAAUUGAUGCUGUACUUCGAUCUACACAAAUAGUUUCAAUCCAACCCUUUUUUAUAUCUUAUCGUCUUAUAUAAACUUAAUUAGAAGCUAAUACUGCCUUACGCACCAUACACACAGCACAAUGCCAACUCUUCAUGCAUCUCCAGCCUCACAUUAUCUAGCAUAUGGCCGUAGAAUAUACAAUAAUGUGCCUUUACAUAAGAAGCCUACAGUAAACAUAUUCAAUUCUAAUAUAAUCUAAAUAAAUCUUAUUCAACAUAAUUUUAUAAUUCAUUUAAUUUUUAUAGAUUUAAAAUUUAUUCGUAAUUUAACCAAAAUCCUAACUCAAUCACUGCAGCGGUCAUCCAUUAGGCAGCAAUUUGAUUACCUGCCUAAAUAGUCCAAAAAAGCUACGCGUAAACUAUUUUGUAAAACCAAUUCAGAAAAUGAGAAACAAUUUAUUUAUUUAUUAUUUUUUUUUAAUGUUUUAAGAAAGAGUAGACUAGCUACCUGCUUCAUUCAUUCGAAAAUAAACUAGGUCAGAAUAAACAGUUGAAAGACAGCAAUAGGGCGUUCCACAAUUUAUUAUAUGUUUAAUUUAGAUUCUAUACAAUCUGCAUGAUAACACUAAUAUAUAUUCCAUGUAUAUACAAUGCCACUUUGAAACCCUAGUAUGUACACAUCACAUGUAUCUAUUUUAGCACACAAAACCUCUGUCAUCACAUCCUUUAGCCCUAUUAAUGUUCAUGAAGGGGCAGAGAGUAAAGUGUCCCUCCAGCUCAUCAGCUCCUGCUCUGAAGCCUUCGACAUCUUGUUGCUCUUACCUCACCGCACACCUCCCUGCACAGCCUUCGCCCGCCUGACCGGUGCCGCGCUCCUCCCGCCACUUCUCUAGCCAGCGUCGCCACGUGCUCCACCUCAUCCUGUAGCCGCCAGGCCAACAGUCGGCUGACGGUAUGCCAAAUCCCUGUUCAGAUAUGUACCCCUUGCUGCCACGCUCGAGCCUGGAGCUAACCCGCACGGACCACUCCGCGAAGACAUUUAGACCGGAAAAGCGCGGGUAGAGGCUACUAAAAGCCAGUCAACGCAAUGCAGCAAGCGAUCAAUCGCGCCGAUACUGCCGUCCGAGGCUGUAUAAUGAUAAAGAGAAACGAAUGCUCGCUUAGCCAGUGUGCGAGGCCGCAGCUGGCUUUCUGCCUUCUUGCGCCGCUUGCCCGAGCUGGGUUGAGCAGAUCGCCGCGGAGCGCCCUUGCACCAUGGCGGAAUUGUCGUGAGACGAAGCUAGCAAAAUAAAUGGAUCUGAACGUCUUGAAAGCCUCCGGCAAGUACUUCUAUCAAUGGCUGGCAUCGCUAUGCCGGAGGGGGGUUAUCGAGACAGAGCAUGAGCACGGCCUUGAACGGGCGGUAUGGGCGCGUAUCCGUCAACUUGUCCUUAAACGAUGAGGCUGAAGAGGAGGGAGGCGUUCGCCAGUUUCGGAAGUAGUAUUCGGACGAGGAGAUUGAAGUGGGAUUCGAGGUAACAAUGCUUUCGCGCCAAUCGGCAGAAUUUCAGUGAUUGUAGCUUGGUCAGGGUCCGAGCAAUGGCUCCGCGUAGAGCGGAGAAGCGGAGGCGGCGGCCGCAUGCUGGGCUGCCUGCUGCUGCUCGCUGCUGCCCUCAUGCUCGGUUUAAGCAGGGCGGCACCCGUAGGUGUCUAAAGGCGUGAGAUCCAGCACGCGGCCCCGAACGUCGUUUAGGACUCGUGCGGAACGCAGCUUCGCAUACUCUCGCGAGUUUAAGCUCGUCGAAGCGAUCGAAUGACGACCCUCGACUGCUGAUUCAAACAAAACAAUGCAUGUAUAUAUGACGUAUAAAUUAGUGAGACAGUAAUCCAUAUUUUUUGUCUUAUGAAAUGUACAUAAUGGGUGGUAUUACUUUCUUAUUAGGCUUGGUGUUUGCAUCUAGGCUAAAAAUGUUGAACUUCAUACACAAUUUCCCCUCCUAUUUUUUGAUGCCCGAAUGAAACUAUAAAAUAAGAAACAAUGGUGGCGAGGAGUCCAACCAAAGAAAUGUAGAAAAGGACAGACCGAAAAGAAGAGAGCCAAAGAUGAUUCUAUAAGUAAAACAAGAAGAAAUCCUUCUUUGAGAAUAGCCUAGAAAGGUUAUGAGCUACUUAUUUGCAAGCGUUGAAGGACAGUAAGCAUAUAUCGCAUAUAUCAGCUUUUAAUUUUACUUGAGAGAAUGAUCUUUGAAGUCUAAAGGUCUUAUUAUUAGUCACGCGGAGAUAUACAUGAGAGCAGAGCUAUAACAUAAAUUAAUGGUAAAAAGUGUAUAAAAGACCCCUCGAGCUUUAAGUGCCUAUGUAUCUAACAUACCGCUUUCUCAAGCCCUUUUUUUUAUUGAGACCUCUUAAUUAAUUUUUAAAAAUAAGUAAAUUUUUAGUCAAAAAAAAUUUGGAGAUUCUAUCAAGUUCAUUGAUGCAGAUUUCACCAAAUUAAAUUAUUUUAUUUUGUUCGAAAAUAGCCUAGGUAGUUAACAGUUCAUAACUAAUAGAACUAUUAAAUUUGAUAAAAUUUUUAAUUUAACUAAAAAAAAUUGGUAAGUAAAGGUGCAUUUCAGAAAUCGUUAAUUGUUGAGGGUCUCCGACAUUUUACUCACAAUUAAUUUAGCCCGUGGCCUUGGGAAAUGGUAAGUUUCGGUGGAAGCUUAAAAGCAAAGUACAAAGAGAGGCACGUACUCAACGGAAAACUUGGGUUUUAGAGCAGAGAGAGAGAGAGGAGAGAGACGCCGAGUACGUGUAUAUUAUAUCCUAUCGUUCGUCUAGCAAUCAUAGCCGUGUGAUCAUCCCUUAAAGGCUAAAAUUUAACCGUGUGAUCUAUUUGUAAAAUCUAGUUUCUUGCUAAUUAAUACGCUGUUAGGGAACUUGGGGUGAUCCUGGCUAGAAUUGUACGUACGUGGCCCAUGCGGAUCUUUUUUCCGUUUCUUGUGGAGGGGGGUGUAUUUUGUGGACACGUGGCAAUUUUUUAUGUGACAUGUGGAUGAGGAGAUCUAUGAUAUUUAACUGUGUCCAAGUGGGAGUGUUUGAGUAUUUAUUCAAGAAUAAUUAUUAUAAAUAAUUAGUUAUAAAUACAGUAUAUAUAUAUAUAUAGAUAGGGCUGCAAAGAGCGAGCCGGCUCGGUGUUCGACUCGCGUUCGAAGCUCGAUAUUUGGCGUCGCUCGAGCGCGAUUUCGAAAUUAAAUAAGCCGAGAGCUUGAACAAAAAAAAAAAAAGCUCGAAAUUCAUUUUCAAGCGAGCUUGGUAUUACUCGGCUCGUUCGAAUUAGGCUCGAAAAGCUCGAAAAGCUCGAAAUAUAUAUAUAUAUAUAAUAUAAUAAUAUAUAUAUAUAUAUAUAUAUAUAUAUAUAUAUAUAUAAUAUAUAUAUAUAUACAUACUAUGCUAUCGAAAGUAUAGAGGAUCUGGUGACUUUCGAUUUUUUGAUUCUUAGAUCAAUCCUUUAAUCAUUUCUUAUUUUUGAAUUAAUACUAUAUUACCUUGUAAGAACCACUCAAUCCUAGGAGUAUUAUUAAUUCCUAGGGGAUCGCAAUCACCCCAACCAUACAAUUCUUAAUCAAAGGGUCAAAAAUUCGAAAAUAUCAAUCUCUUUAUAUUUUCAAUAGCAUAGUAGUUCUACAUUAUAAUAUAUAUAUUAAAAAAUAUAAUAUAUAAUAUAAUAUAUUUUGAAUAUAUAUAGCGCGAGUGAAUAAUCUAAUUUAGUGAAAUUUUGGGCUAAUGUUGUUGGCCCAUAAAAAAAACCUAAUAGACAAAUAAAGAGCGAUAUUCACUAAAUUAUACAUUUUUCCUUUCUUUCUUUCUUUACAGAGCUAAAUUUCAAUAUGUUUAAUUCUCUCUUUCUCUUUUUCUGUCUCUCACCAUAAGUGGCCAAGCCGCGAAGCGCUUCCAGUUACCAAGUAACAGCUAUAUCCCGCCGUUGCCUACCUUGCUAUUUAAUUGUAUACUUGAGAAAAUAUACAGAUAUUGUUUAACGUUAAAAAUAUUAUUAUUAUAAAUUUUAAAUUUUAGUUAUAUAUGAUUGGAUAUUAAUCAAUAUUUAUUAUAUAAUUAUUUAUUUUUGACUGCAUAAAUGAAAAUGAAUAAUAUGGAGAGUUGAAGGCGGAAGAAAAGACAUUAUGAAACUGAAAUGAUUAGAUAUUAACUCAUAAAUUUUUUUUUUUUCAUAUUAUAAUACUAUAUUUUAUAUAAUUAUUUUGUACUUUGAACUAUUAGACAUAUUUUUGUAUCAAAUUAUACGAUAAUGUUCUAUACAAAUUAAACUAUUGAUCGUAUGAUGUUGAGGAAUUUCAACGGCUCGUUUAGGCUCGAGCCGCUCAACUUGAAAUUAGGCUCGCGUCGAGCUCGGCUCGAAUUAAUUUCAAAUCCAAAGCUUGGAGCUAACAUUUAGGCUCGAAAUUAAUUUCAAGCCGAAUUGAGCUGAGGUAAGCCGCUCAGCUCGGGCUCGUUUCCACGCCUACAUAUAGAACUAGGCUGGAAUACUAUUAAAUAGUACCAAGUUAUUGCUGCUAUUGAAUUUUUAGCCUUUGGAAUGAGAAAUAUGCAGUUAGAAUGAUGUGGGCCCUCUAGGGUUGAGUGGGGUGUUGAAUAGUAUAAUCUAACGGGUAAAAAAUAAUCAAGGAGUUAAUCUAACGCGCAGAAAACUUGAUAGCACCAAGUGUUUGGUGCUAUCGAUAGCAUAGCAGCCGGACUAUAAUAUUAUAUAUAUAUAUAUAUAUAUAUAGCUAGGCUACUAUACUAUCGUUAUACGGAGCGCUCCGUGCUACCAAGUUGUUUUCGAUGAUGUGGCUUCCAAAUCGACGAUCGGCUCCGUUAGAGUUAAUCUAGCACUAUUGAAAGUAUUUAGAAACUAAGAUUUCAUAAUUUUUCGAUAUCAUUUACCUAUCAAACAAGUAGUCUAAAAUUGAACGCGCUGAAAAUAAAAAUCUCAUUAAAAAUGAUGAUAAAAGAUUUAAAUCAAGAUCAGAUAUACUGAUCUUACUCUAAAUAGUGAAAAGAAUUUUUCUAUAAAAUUUUCAUCGCAUUUGGAUUGUUUUACAGCCGUUAAACUCACAAACACACCACAUCGGCCAUUAAAAUGUCAAUUUGAGAUCUUUUUGAUCACUAGUCAAAUGAUGCUCGAAAAAAUUUGGAAUUUAGUUUUCAAAUACUUUCAAUAGUGUAGAUCAAGUCUAACGGACCGAUCGUCGAUUUGAAAGCCGCAAUCAUCGAAAACACUUGUAGCCACGAGCGCUCCGUAGCUACAGAUAGCUAUAGUAGCCCGGGACUCUAAUACCUCUAUAUAUAUAUAUAUAUAUAUAUAAAGAGAGAAAGAGAGAGAGAGAGAGAGCGAGUCCGGCUGAGAUACUAUCGAUAGCACGAAGCAUUUGGUACUAUCAAGUUUUCUGCCGUUAGAUUUACCUCUUUUAUCAUUUUCAACGGUUCGAUUAUACUAUUCAACCAAUUACCCACUUAACCCUGAGGGGCCCACAUCAUCCUAACCACACAUCUUUUAAUCUAAGGACGGAAAACUUAAUAGCCCCAGUCAUUGGUGCUAUUAAUAGUAUUCCAGCCUAGUUAUAUAUAUAUAUAUAUAUAGUAGGGCUAGAAUACUUUUACAAGUAUCACCCAAGUGAUACUUGUGUGUUUUUAGCCAUUGGAUCUACUUUUUGAUUACUAAUAGUCCUUAGAUCAAACACUAUUCCACCUACCACCACCUACCACCACCUACCACCAUCAUCUCAACCUCACAUCUCUCCAUCCAAGGGCUAAAAACACACAAGUAUCACUUGGGUGAUACUUUUACAAGUAUUAUAGCUCUACUCUAUAUAUAUAUAUAUAUAUAUAUAUAUAUAGAGAGAGAGAGAGAGAGAGAGAGAGAGAGAGAGAGAGAGAGAGAGAGAGAGCUAUUAUGCUAUCGAAAAUAUAGAGAAUUUGAUAUUUCCGACUUGUUGGCCCUUAAAUCAGUCUCUUUAAUCAUUUCUAACCUUUGAAUUAGUACUAUUAUACCUUGUGGGGACCACUCAACCCUAGGGUACUACUCAACUCUAGAGGGGAGCGCAAUCAUCCCAACGUACAAUAUUUUAUUCAAGAGUCAAAAAAUCGAAAGUAUCAAAUCUUCUAUACUUCUGAUAGUAUAGUAGCUCUACAGCUCCACACACACACACACACACACACACACACACACACACACACAUAUAUAUAUAUAUAUAUAUAUAUAUAUUGGAGAUAUAGUUAGACAGUGUAAUAUUUGUAUGUAUAAUUCAUUUGGUAGUAUGUAAUGUGAUUGAAUCACAAAUUUCUAUUUGUUUGCUGGUAGGAUUUGCAAAUUUUUGUUAUUUUGUAUGUGAAAUAAAAUAAUUAUUCUUCAAAAAUUAGGAUUUAUCUUUUUUUUUUAUUUAAGAUGUGAGUGGGUAGGUAUGGUUAUCUCUUAUGUACAAUAUUUAUUUUCUUCAAUUGCUGCUUCUAUAACUGCAUCUCAUUUGGGCAUUGUCCGAAAUGCACCAGUUGGGCCUCAAACUGCAGCUUCAAUUGUAACACAGUACAGAUGCAACUACAACUAGCCAACCAAAUAAACUUUUUAGAUUUGCUUCCUAGUUGCAAUAUAACUAUUAGACAAUUUGAAAUCGGCCCUUUGUGUUUUAGAUUCUUUAGUUUUUUAUGUUUUUUUUAUUUAAAUGCUAUAUUUAGUUUAGUUGAAAAUUUUAUCAAGUUUAAUAAUCAUAAUAUAUUAGUUUUCUCGAAUUUAAUAGUUAAAUUAAAUCAAAUUUAUAUUAAAAAUCCAAAAGAUUUUUCUUAACCCCAAAUCACUUGGAUAUAACAUUUAUACCCUCUCGAAACCAUUCAAGAGCAGAGACAAAAUUUGAUAAAACUAAUAGGCUAAAUUACAGAAAACCCCCCUAUAAUAACCCGCUUUUUUACUUUCCCCCCUGACAUUUAAAAACCUACACUUUGCCCCCUUGUAAAAUGAAAAAUGUGCACUUCACCCCUACCGUUAGGGUUCCGUUAGGGGUUCUGUUAAAAAAUAUUUUUUUAUACCGAAAAUACCCCUCUGCCUCUUCUCUGAUGCUUCGCUCCCUCCGGCUCGCCGCUUCGCCGCCUCGCCGCCUCGCCGUCCUCCACUGCUUCGCGCUCGCCCACAUCCCUUUCGUUCUCCUCCGCCACCUCGCCUUCGCCCUCGUUGUCCCUGCCUACCUCUCCAUCAACACCCAUCUUAGUAUUCUCCCUACUGUCGCCGAAAUCGAUGGGCGGCGACGGUGUAGGAGGAGAAGGGGAGCAGGUGGAGAAGAAAUUGGAGAGGAAUCUUGGACGGAUUGAGGUGGAAUAGGGGAUGAAGGGGCGGCGGAGGAAGAAUCAGAAGAAGACAACAAGUGGCGAGUGAGCAAUGGUCAUUUACACACCUUGACCCGUGUGAACAUUUUAUCAUUUAUACUAAGUGAUGGGCAAAGGGUAGGUUUUUAAUUCAGGGGGGAAGUGAAAUAAGCGGGUUAUGUACAGGGGUUUUCUGUAAUUUUUAAGCAAACUACUAUGAUUAAUUAACUUUGAUCAAUUUUUAAUAACUAAUAUAGUCUUGAAAUAAAAAAUUUAAAAGACUAGAAUCUAAAGAUUAACGGCCAAUUCUAACAUCUUCUUGAGGCUACCUGUGCAUGCUAGAUCAAAAUAUCGGACUUAAUAGCGAGCAAUAAAUCACCCCACGGAUCUAGCAAAACUCAAACCUGAGUAAAGGGCGCUUGCAUCCAAAUGAAAGAAUAAUAUUUUUGUAGGAUAAUAUUAUUUACUAAGACAGAGGAAUAACCAUUUGCUAAUUUAUUUUUCAGUUAUGUCUCCUUUUCCUCGUUACAAUCUACGCUAACAGUUACGAAGCUGCGUUUCAGCCAACUGUGGAAGGCCACAUAUAUACCAUUAAUUUUCUCGUAUUGCUGAAUAUCGAUUUAUAGGGGCUUUUUCUUUACUAAAAAAAAUUCAAAAAAAAACCCUUAAACUAAAUCAAAGUUUAAUACUUUGCAUCCAUAUUUUUUUAAGUAACUUAUAUGCACGGACCUUCAAUAAAGAUAAUACAAAUUGAUCAUAUUGUCAUUUAAUAGACUUUCGAUUUCAUUGUAUGAAAAAUGAAGACUAAUGCUAGGUAAGAAUUUUUGAACUCAUUAUUGUACUGAGAAACACAAAUGAGACCGUAUCAUUUAAAAAACGGAUGGCAACGUAUGUGUUGAGACUAACUCAAAACAAAACUCUUUCUGGACAACAGAUAUUGUUUUAGAAUGGAAAGAAGUUGUAUGACACCAGUUUUUUAUUAAAAAAAAUAUUUUAAAAGAAUUUAGAUGGAAAUUAAUAUCAGAUGAUGACAAAGCCCAAAACGAUUAUGAGGCACUAAGUUCAAUUUUCAAAAAUAGGGGCCAAAAAGAAAACUUUGGCAAAUUCGGAGCGACUAGUUGCACUUAUAUUUAAAUAAUGUAGGCGUGUUGGUCAAAUGAGGGUGAAAAUAUUGGUGUCCAUUUCAAAACUCUGAGUGGGCAAUUUCCAACCCCUCUUUAAACUCAAUGCAGGAGCAAGAAGAAAAUACAAAAUAAAACACAUCCAAGACACACAAGAUUUUAGCUGGCUCUCGCACUCUCCGAGGGACCCCAAUGCCACAAAAGAAGCUAUCCAUAUAUUUGUGAGAUCAUACAAAAGAGAAUUCAGAAUAGAAGAAUAUACCCUUAACUCCAAGAGUAUAAAAUAAGCUCUAGAUUUAGUCUAUCAAAUGGGUGUAACCAACCUCACAGGAAGAUCUACUCUUCUGAUAAGAACUAAGAUCAAACAACUUAGGGUUCUCUCUUUUUCCACUUUUUUUCUCACUCUUACUUUCUAUUUAUAUUUUUCUCUCUAUUCUAAUAUCCCUUUGCUCCUAGAGAAGAGGCUAACAUAUGGGCCUUUGGAUCAAAAGAACAUGAUAAGCUUUACAAAUAGGAGCAAUAGAUGAUAAGAAAUAUAGACAGGGGAGAUUUUGAUCACCAAUAAUAUCCAAUAGCACGGCCCAAAUAAGAAAUGGCCAAUAUAAUUAGUCUAACAAGGCGAUAUAACAAUUUAUUGUGAGUUCAGAAAACUCAAAAAGUAGCGUAUGUUCGAUUCAUAUCUAGGAGACUCUGUAAUGCAUAGAGAUAGUCUUCAUCAGGGACGCAACUCGUGAUAUUUUCGUUAUUUGGAUAUUUAAGAGAUUUUGGCGAAGUUUGAAAUCAGUUACUUGCAGAAAAGAAUGAAGGACAGUUCAGAAAGCCAUGAUUGAAUAGCCUAACCUAUUCUCGUGCAGUGAAACUCCUUGAUGAAGUUUCUUAUAACUAUUGGAAACCCCCCGAAGUCGCAAACAAAGAGCAGUUGUAUAUUUUACCAUCAACGUUGACAUCUUAAUUCAUUGUGAUAUUCGAAGAGAAAUGACAAUCAGAAUUAAUAUAAUGCGCAGUUCUAAAUUUUUUGUGAUUCUUCUUACACAUGAAAAAGAAAAGGCGGAACCUUUGAAGAAACUUGAAAUUAUGAGCAAUAGCAUGAUUAUAUGAGUACUUUAGAGUCUUUGACUUAACAGUGUUGUCUUUUCGGCUUCUGCUUAGUGCCUCGAACGAAAGUGUGGACAAAGUAUCUUUCACCCAAGCUUCGGAUGAACCGUCUGUAUAAGUAAUUUUAGAUAGCGCACAGGAUCAAUUAGUCUUCGCAAUUAUUUAAGUAAACAGUUGGAGAUUGGAUUUAUGAAGCGGAACUUGAGAUGAAUAUGUUAUAAAUCUAUUUACUUUUUCAUAAAACAGUUACUGAGUCUAGUUAAGGAAUUUUGACUUUUUCUGAAAUAAUGACAAAGAGGGCAAUAGGUGUUAAUGAUCAAGAAUUCUGCAUUUAAUACAAAUCUUGUAUACACAUGUGCUCGUGAAUUGCGAUUCGUCUGACAGAUAAGAGCUCAAGAUAUCCGGCUUCAAAUACACAACCGUAGCCUUAGUAUCUGUUUUUGAAUAAAUGAGGGCGGAAAGCUAGAUGGGAGUAAUUUACAGUUGUGUAACUUGGUAACCAUUUUAUUGUGUACCAUGGCUUCAAGCUUUAUGUGAAAUUAUUAUGAAAAAAUCGUUGGAGGGAGAGUUUUUAACUGCUAUAGACUAGCUAUUUAAUGAAAGCUCUGGUAUUGUGCAAAGUAGAUCUUGCUCUUCACAGUCUUGAGAAAGUUCCGGGUCUCAAAUGCAGGUAUUGCUGCUUAUAUACCAUGUGAAAGGUAUAUGACACAACUGUUUUGUAAAAGGCUUAGUAUAGAGAGGUGUUUUAAAUAUUUUAUAUUCGACACUUCACUUUGUGUAAAGACAAACUACUCAAAAAACUGAAAGACUAGAAUAGCUUUAGCAUGGAUAUAUUAUGCUCGAAUUAUUAUGCAAUUUGGUGAAUAAUGAGAUUUUUCUAAUUCAACAUUGGAUGUGAACCCAAGGGCGUGAGAGGGAAAAAAAAAGAGGAGCUGGAAGAUAUUUCGCUAGAAAUAGAACUGUUAAAAAGCCUGAACACAGUAAGUAUAUCUAGAAAGCUGAUGAACAGGAAUGAUAGCUCCGUCACUUAAAUUAUUGUUUGUUUGUCCAUAAUGAUGUAACUCAGGUUCGGCAUAUAUUCUAUUACUAAAAUAUUUGUAUUGGUUUGUAGCAAUAGUUAGUGUGGUGGAGGUUACCGACUUGCAGUGGUAUAGUAUAACUGUAAUUAGUUUACAUAUAGAGUGAAGUUGCGAAACUUGGAGAAUAGUUUGUGAAGAUAUUUGAUCUUUUUAAUUAAGACUAAAGCAACAUACCACAAUAAGUUUCCCUUUGUUUUCCGGCUUACUCGCAAGACUAAGUGCUGCAACCGUAUUGGCUCCCGAUGAUAUCCCUACCUACAAAAUUGAAGAAAUUUUGAUGGCAAAUGUUCCAAUCAACACCAACAUUACAAGAAAUAGUACUCGCGAAGCAUCCAAAAAUUUGCAUAAUCGAUGCUAGUAACAUUUGACUAGAUAUAAAUUUAUUACCAGAAGUCCCUCUUUUCGUGCUAAUUCUCUCGCCAUGUUCACCGCAUCGUCACUUCGUACCUGUAACUUAGUCGUCUCCAGUUAGCUCGACGAGUAUACAUGCAAGACUUCAUAAAUUGGAGGAAAAAAAAAGUAGACUGAUUUUAAAAUUAGAAGGACUAAAACUAUCAUAUAAAAAUAACUCAGAAGAACAAGCUGGUAACUUGCCUCAAGAACUUUCUCCAUUACAUCCAUGUCGAGAAUUUUAGGCUUGAAGCCAACUCCAUUUCCAGUGAUUAGAUGAGGGCCUAAAAGUAAUCCGAAUGCGACGACAUCAAAUUAUUACACAAACUAAUUAAGCUACUAAAUAUCGCAAAUUUGAAAACAGGCAUAGUUUCUACAAAUCUUAUCAGAAGGAAAGAAUAACAAAACUAAAUUUUAUAUUUUAUAUCAAGAAACUCAUUUAGCCAAUUGUUUCCUUUGAUCAUAUUUUCAAAAGAUAAUAUUACGAAAUAUAACCGCAAUACCUGGUUUACCACCAUUCAGAAUAUUUGAUUCAGCAGGCUCGACUCCAUAUAUCUACAAAAAACGACAACUGUGAAAUCAUUGAGUACAUAAUUUCGUAAGCUUUAAAUCGACGACUAAAUACAACGACUUAGUAUCAUAGAAGCUAUCAUAAAAGGCACUCAAACUAUUUAGUUGUAUUUCGGAAUGAGUAACACAAUACCUUGACAUUAGGGUUCAUAGAUUUCAGGUAUCUCCCAACACCAGUCACAGUACCUCCACUCCCUAUUCCCAUAACGAAGAUGUCGACUUGCCCUAGAGUAUCUUCCCAUAUCUCAGGGCCAGUGGUUUCAAAAUGGAUCUGGUAUUAGAAAAAAAUAAUAAUUAAACAUAACUUUAUAAAACAAAAAAGGGUAUUUAGAUUCAAAUAUACAGAAACAUGACAAAUGUGCAGAAUUAGGAUCUGAUCAUAGUUAUUUCAGUUUCACUUCUAUAAAAUAGUCAAUUGCGGACAUUAGGAAGUAUGUAUAUAAGAAAAUCUAAUUGCAAACAAAGUUAUAUUUAAUUAUUCACUUCGAUUCAUUUUGAUAUGAAAUACUAAGAAAGUCUGACUAAUACAGAGUUGAAAAAAAAACUUUUAUAGGCGAAUCGAGAACUACUCAAGAUAUCCUAUUGCUUCUUUCUAACAGUAAAAAAUGAAUAAAACUGGCGAGACGAAAUUAGUAUAAAAAAUAAGCACUUUUAAGUUUGUUAACCUUAAAAUCUCAUGAUUGCAAAAUCUUGUCACUCAUUAGCUAAAUCCUACUUUUGUAAAUAAGAAUAAAGAUGUGAAUUCUUAUUGAUAGGCAUGAAAAGCUUGAAAAGAUGAUACUAUUCGAAGUACGUAAAAAAUAUAACACGUAGAAGAAGAGGUUAAGCUACUUUAUCAUUUGCAGGAUUCUCAAACUGCUGAAGCAUGAAGGCGUCGGGAUAGGACUCCAUAAGUUCAUACGCUUUCUUCACAGUUCCGCCCAUCCCUUUGGCAGGGUCAGUCAGCACCAAAUUUGCACCGUACGCCCUCAUGACGACCCUCCUCUCGAGGCUCGUGUAUGACGGCAUGGUGAGCACCAUCUUGUAACCUUUCAGAGCUGCGAUGAACGCCAUACUGAUCCCCAUGUUCCCCGACGUUGGCUCGAUCAAAGUCGUCUGAUAUAAACAUAGAAUCAAUUAAUGUGUCGGUAUGUGGAGCUAAUGUGAUAUCUUAAGUGAGUUCUUUCUAACAAGAUUAAUUUUUUGGAUUGUAAUUUAGUGUUCAGAAACAAAAUGUGGAUAGGUUGUCAAAGAAGUUAGACAAGGUAUAGUAUGUCCACUAUGUUGAUCUACUAUUAAUAUGGCCUUUGAAAAUGGAUUGAUAUGGCACUCUAUUGCAGCAACAACAACAACAACAACAACAACAGUAUAAAGAUUGUAUAGUAGGAAAAUUGUACAGCAAUAGGUGAAAAUAAGAUUCUUAAGCUUGUUCUAUUUAAAGAGUUACUUUUAAAAUUGCCAAUUCGAAGGCCAUCACGCUAGGGAUGAAAGUGGUUAAGGUAAACUCCAAUUGAAACUAAUUUGACAUUUUAAAAAUAAAUUUAAUAAUUAGAUAAAAUUUAAACUAACUGGAAUUAAAAUAAAUUAAACUUUAAAUAAAAAUUAAUUUAGUGUAUUUUUUUUAAAAAAGAUCUAUGGAGUACCCUGGGGAUGGUAACUCGAUCAUGUGGGGGACAGGAUGCGAUCUCUAAUUUCUUCUUUCAAUUUUUUUUUAAAUUUUCUUCGUACGUUUAAAGAAAAGAGAUAGAUUAAUUUAUCUCUUGUUUUAAUUUAAUACAAUCACGUGCAGGAUCUGAGCCUGUUUAAUUAGUAAUUUAAUUUAGUUUAACAAGAAGAGUCUACUAUAUUAUUAGAUAAAUUAAAAAAAAAGGGAAAAAUUGAAAAUUUAAGAGGAAGUUUAUAUAGUUGGAGGUAAUUGUAAACAAAGUAUGGUCGGAGAUACAUACAAUUGAAAUAAAAAAAUAAGGCAGUAAUAGCUACAUGUAUUUUAUUUGGUUGGAUGUAAUAAAAAGCGGUACACUUAUAAUAAUUUGUUUAACACCAUACAGUUGAGAAUUGUACAUUCAAAUUUUAAUAUUGGGUGGCAUCGUUACUUCCCAUUUAGAAAAAAAAAGAGAGUAUUUUUAGUCCAAUACCGUCUUUGAAUUCGUAUACAACUAAAACUUUAGUGUAAUUUUAAUUGCAUGCAAUCAAACAAUGUCUAAUGUUUAUUUGUAAAAAUAUUGACAUUUAUGCUGCAAAGGAGCAUGCUUAUUUCUGCACCUACUAUUGGUGUAAAACUUACACUCCUCUCAUUCAAGAGUCAAGUCUUUCGUACUAGUUUUUAACGGUAUAAAUCAUUGGAUGAUGGCCGGGUAUAUGAUUUAUACUCAUACCGAUUGUACCUAAUGCAAGUUGGCUAAGGAUCAAAUGAUUGGCAUCUGCAUUAAUAUAAAAAUAUUUAAACACAGUUCUCUAUCAGUUUAAGUUUUUGGAGUACAACGAUUGUUUCAUAUAUUUUCCAUGACAUCAGAGCAGAAAAUAUUAAAUUUGAGUCACGGCAGACACCUAUUAUUAUAAUUUCCUUCUAUUUAAUCCAAUUUCACGUCAUGGGCGUACAAAAAUUCUCCAACCCAGACGUACGGGAGUGUUAAAUAUAAAAAUAUUUAAAUAAUAUUUUCUAUCCACGAAUGUUUUUAGAAUAUAACAGUUAUUUUAUAUAUUUCACAAUCUGAGAUCCUAAAUUUAAAACUUAAUUACUUCAUAUUUUUAUUUGAAUUUAUUUUUCUAAAAAAAAAAUGAAACAGACAGCAGUAAUUUUUUUUUUUUUUUUUUUUUCUGAGAGAGAUAGGUAGCACGCUACUCGCUUCGUUCAUUUCAUUUAGAAAUAAACUUAGCUGAAAAUGUGAAUCAAUUAGGAUUCGAACAUGAGUCUCGGGUACUAACCACCAAAUCCUUUGCCAUUUGCUCUAGAGACGGUCAGUGACAGCGGUAAUUUUUGGUUGCAAAUUUAGUGGACUAACCUUGCCUGGAGCUAUCAACCCUCUCUUCUCAGCAUCUUCGAUCAUGGAAAAAGCCGGCCUGCGCGACAACCAAGUGGGACGACGAAACAUUACCCACAACGUACGGCGCUGAUUAAUAAAUACCAUAAAAAAUGGACGUCUCUGAUUCGGUUGGUGCCAGGCGAUGGCCGAAAGCAUCCGGAUCUAGAAAGUCGGUGGUGGCAGACAAACCUGUCUUUAACGCUGAAGGAAGGCUGCAGGAACUCCAGCUUGGCCGCCACCCGGGCAUCACACCCUUCUGUCACCUUGUUCAGAUACACCAACGGCGUCCUCCCAAUUAGCUGCACUUUUUUUUUUAUUUUUUCAAAAGAAAAUAUUUAGAAUAUUAAUACUUUUUUUUUCAUCUAAAAGAGAAAAAAGUAUUUGUUUCGUUUAUAUUUUUAAAAAUAAACUCACCAACUAAUUUUCACCACAUUAGUGCUAUAUUUGGCAAUAAACAUUGUUGUAACAACGGAAUAAUUGAAAUAAAUAAUAAAAUACAAGAACCUUAUUGUUGGGUGCAAUUAAUCUAAGCAAUAAAAAGAGUGACGCUAUCUGUACACCCAAAAAAAAAUAAUGUAAAUUUUACCAUUAAUAAUCUCCAAUGGUACAUAGGCUAAAUAUCCAAGAACAACAUUUUUACACUAAUCCUAUCAAUUUAUUUUUUUAAAUAUUAGAAAAUUUUUAAAAAAAUGUGUAGGACAUAAAAUUUACACCAUAACUUUAAAAAUACAAAUAAUAUUAAUAUCUAAUAUAUCCUUUAAACUUUCAAAAAUAUCUAAUAUACUUUAGAUAACCAAAAUAUCUUUAUUGAUCUCUAAAUUUUUUUUCAAAUAUAUUCCUAAUUAUAGAGUUUACUGAUGAAAUUUAGAAUUAGAAGGGUAUUUUGAAAAUAGAGAGUGAUAAAUUAGAAAAUUUUGAAUAGUAGAAAGAAAAAAAAGAAAAAAAAAGUGGACUGCUGACCUCAUCACUUUCUGCCAUAGCUAUUCAAUUGGAUGGCCGACCUCGUCAAUGUCACUAAAGUAAAAUCUUCUAAUUCAACAACACGAGGUGAGGGAAUUUUCGAAAAUUUAUCUAUCAGUUUGGAUGUUAAAUUUGCAAUCCCAAAAAGUCGACGGCGCCGGCCGGCAUUUGUUUCGACACCGAAACUGUCAGAUCAUCCAAUCAUCCACUUAUGAUUGUACAAAUAUCGGCCAAUUGACUUCCGAUGGGUGGAGAGCGAGCGAAGCGAAGUCGAGUUCGCCGAACUCGCGGGCUCCUCGUUCUCCGACUUCACGACUUCCAAUUCGUUACUAAAGUGUGGGGUGAUUUGAUGAAGUGUUAUCUCCUUAGUACGAUUCUUAACAGCUAUAUAAUCUAAAAUUUUAAAUAAUUUAUUCUAUAGUCGAAAUAGAAGUUCUAAAUUAGUUUUUUCAAAAAUUUUAAAACUUAGAAUUUGUAUUUCCAUUUGCAAUCAUAGCAAAAAUUUUGGACCUUCUGGUCAUUAGAUAAUAAUACAGUAAAAGGUAGAAAUAAAACCAAUAAAUAGGCGUUUGUAGAGAGAGAGAGAGAGAGAGAGAGAGAGAGAGAGAGAGAAGGGAAAGCAUAAUUUUGCCUGGGAAGGUAGCUUGCUGAUUUUGAGAGCAGAGAGGUCCCUGAUGGCUGGAGAGGCUGCCUGGUGAUCUACUACUGCCUGCUGGGUAGAGAAAGAAUUAGUCACCCUCUGCAGAAGAGAGAGCUUGCUGCUUCCCCUCCUCAUCACCCCCAUCAGCUUCUCCAUCUCUCUGUCUCUCCCCCUUCUCCCCCCUCUACUUGUGUGUGUGGAUUGUGCUAAUCUGCUUGUCAGCUUAAAUAUACACAGCCACAAGGAAAGUUCCAAAACUACUACCUGUAUAUCAGUAGGUGAUAUUAAUCUUACACCCAAUUAAUGUAUCUACAGAUUUUAGGCACUCCUCUAUGAAAGGGUAUUGUUUAUACCAAGGUUUAAAGUGCACUGACACGGGGGCGUGUCGUUGUUUGCCUAGUACGGUAAGGUACCAGUAUACUUCCGUGUCAACAUAUGAUACGCUUGCGUGUCGAUGAAUACGCACGACCUCUUACUGGUACACUUUGGCAUGAAUUUAUUUUAAUUUUUUUAGCUCCAAUAAGCUUUUAUAAUAUUAUUUUAAAAGAUUUAAUCAAAUAAUUAUGAAUAUUUGUUAUGUAUAGCUUACUAUACUUAUCAAUUAAUACAUUUGUAAACUUUUUUGUAUGUAAAGUACAAUUAUACUUGAUAUAGAAUAAAAAUUUUUAUACAUUAGAAUUUUUAAAAUAUAAAAACAUCUUCUUCUUUCUUUUUUUUUUGACCAUAUUAAAGUUUUUCUUUUAUAAAAUACAAAAAAAUAAUUUUAAAAAUUAUUUAAAAAAGUAUUUGAAAAAUAUAUUUUUUUAAUUAAUUUUUUUUUAAAAAAUUGGUAGAUCUAUCAAAAAAUAUUAAGCAAUUAAUUAUAUAACAAAUAAAUUAAAUAAAUUUAAAUAUCAAUUGAUUUAAUUUAGUUUUUAAUUUUAUCAGUAUUUGCAAUAUUCUAGCGCAAAAAUAAAAUUUUAUAUUUAAUGUGGCUCAAAAUUUAUUUAUUGAGUUCGAUUUUAUUCUCUUAAUUCGUCAAAAAUUUUGCUGUGUGACAAAUUAUGAUAAAAUAAUUUGUGAAUAAAAAAUAGAUAUCUGUGGUGGAAGUGAAGGGUUCGGACAAAUCUUCUGUUCGUAUAUUAUAAAUAAAAAAAAUUAAAUUAAAAUUAUUUUGACUUACCUAAUAAGUAAAUUUUCGAUUUGUAAUGUCUUUGGGGAGUACUCAGAAUGCAUGUUUUGAAUAUCUUAAAGAAUAAAACAAAAAGAAAAAAAUUUAAAAAAAAAGCAAAAAAGCAAAAAAAGAAAAAAAGCACAAUGCCGGCAUGGCACUGUGCCGUGGCACGCUACGUCGUGCCGCUCUGUCUCGUGCGGCACGGCACUGCGUGCCGUAGCACGGAGGGGAGUUCGAGACCUCCCCUGUACGACACUACAACAAAAAGGGUUUCUACCUACCUUUUUUUUAGAGCUUUACGACGCUUUUAAGCGUCGGCAAAAUGUUCCUCGACGCAAAGACAAGCGUCGUCAGGUGCGUCGUUAAAUGCAGUGUCGGCAACGAAAUGGCGACGCUUUAUGCAUGCGUCGGUUAAUUACUACCGACGCUUUCAUGCGUCGUCAAUUUAAUUUUGGCGACGCUGCAAUGCGUCCCCAAGUUUCAAAAUAUUAUAGAAAUUUUAAAAGUUUAGCGACUCUUUAUAGCGUCGGCAUUUUUUAAAAUAUCAUAAAACAAUUUUUUAAAUAUUUUUUAAAAUUUUGAUUAAUUUUUUUCGAUCGGACAUUUUAUUAAAACUUGCAAAUCAUAUACUUUACAAAUUGCACACCAACUCAUAGAAUAUUAAAAAGAAUAAACAUCCAGAGGGAAAAAAAAUAUGCACAAGCAAAUUUAUGAGAAUGUGACACCCCAAUAGUCCCACAUCAGAUGGGAAUGGGGUUGUCAUUGGGUUUAUAAGAGACUUAGACACUAGUAAUAAUAACUGGGCUUAAGCAUUUUGGGCCGGUGGUUGGGCCCAACGAGUUAUUGUUGCUAGUGGGCUUGGUCGUUACAUUUGGUAUCAGAGACGGUUCACCAGCUGGACAUGUGUGGCGAGUCUCGGCUGAGCCAGGGUUUGGAUGACGAGCUAGCGAGACGAGUCUCACAUCGCCUGGUGAUGUUGGGCUGUCUGUGAUUGGACUGACGAGGACGUCAGGGCCUUAACGGGGGGAGUCUGUCCCACAUCGGAUGGGAAUGGGGUUGUCAUUAGGUUUAUAAGAGACUUAGACACUAGUAAUAAUAACCGGGCUUAAGCAUUUUGGGCCGGUGGUUGGGCCCAAUGAGUUAUUGUUGCUAGUGGGCUUGGUCGUUACAGAGAAAUUCAAAACAAUUCCACAAGCCAACACUACAGGAAAUACCUUAUUUAAUGAAAGGAGAAACCGUCGUUAUAUGCCCGGAUUUCCGUCGUUAAAAGUCAAUAACGAUGAACAAUUAUCCCGUCAUGACCCGUCGUAAAAGCUUCCUUCGUUAAAACUAGUUACGACCAAAUGAAUCACUAGUCGUUAUAGAUUACUCACGACCACAUCUUUUGUCAUCGUUACUUAGUUACAUUAGUAACCACUCCAUUUUACAAUAACGACCAAUUCUACCGUCGUAAUAGAGAUCACAAAAACUACAAUUAU
rnacentral:lncRNA from 1 species